rnacentral:lncRNA from 1 species
GAGUAAAAUCUCUUCAAAUCCAAUCUAAACAAAGGUUCUAAUAAGAUCAAUUGAGCUCCAAAAGUUUCUAAUCAAAAAUCUCCAUUUAAACCCUAAGUUUCAGAUUCUAGGGUUACAACAUAAAAAAAAAUCCACCAAAUCAUGAUCCAAAAGAGGAAUCAUGGUUACUAACCUCUCUAGAUGCUCCAAACCAUGCUUAGAUGGUGCUAGAGUUGAAGCUCUUCCUCCAAACAAGCUCCAACCAAAACCUCAAAGCUUCUCCAAUGGUGGUAGUCCAACAUAGAGUAAGAAGGGGAAGAAAAGAAAGAUCAAAACAAACAAAAACCAAGAGAAAAUAGAAGAAAAAACAAAGGGGAGGAGCCUCACCUAGUUCUCCAAGAAAUAGGGCUCAAAGGAGUCCUCAAGGGGCUGUAGUGGGGUUAUAUAGAAUUGCAACAUUUGCGAAAACCUCCUCCAACAACGUGCAGUCUGUACUGCAUUGUGUACCGUUACACGGAAAAGUGUAUCGGUGCAAAAUCAGCCAAACAGCAAACCCGAGCCUCGGGUUGAUAGAAAACGGCUGGUUAUACCGGUACAAACCCGAUGUUGUACCGGUACAACCCCCUAUUCCGGUACAGACUCAAUGCUGUAUCGGUACAUUGCUCUGCAGAGUCCAACCCGAGAGUAGCCAAUAAUUUUCACUUUAGAGACUUUGGCUGUCACGCCCCGGGGCCGAUUUUAAAAGCCUUUUUAAAAUCCAUUACCAUUUUAAAACGGAGUUGCGUAAGACGUGCCAAUUUUUUUUUUUUCAACCUGGCCCACGUGACGUACAGAUCCGCCACAAAUACAAAGUUCCUCUGUCCACUCGGACAGAGUCUCCUUUGUAUUUGCACGGCGUACCAACUAUACAACAGGAUCUUAACCACAACCUACAUUUAUCAAUCAACGACCAAUUCAUGAUAUGCAUUUCCAUACAGCUAUCAAUCCUUAAGAUGAUACAUGCCUCUAAGCACUCCUUAGGCGCUGAAUAAUGCAAUGCAUAGUACAACAAUCAUCCUAUUUAAAAGUGCUCCUCACCCGGAAACUUUGUUUUUGAAAUCUAUUUCAAUCAUCCAUGAAAACCAUUCGAAAAUUUUUUUAAAACUGUUUCUCACUCGGAAACUCUAUUUUGAAAACGGACUAUCUCGAGGGGUAGAAAACCACAAUGCAUAAGGACAUAAAUGCAUGAACUGAAUAUCUAUAAAACCAGAUCCACAAAUCCACAAUCUAAAAUCACAUGCAUAAGGAAAACAUCACAGAUCCACUGAAGCCAAAUCACUAACAUUCAAACAAACAUGAGGAUCGUCUAACUGAACCAUUUAUUAUUAAAACUACUAAGUACCGAAGAGAAAGUAACCAGGGUGACAGUUGCUAUACCAGGUUAGCUAGAUCGUCCUCCCGUCGAGCCCAAAAUCUAACUCCUCGUCCAUGUCACCUGGGGGGAAUGGGGGGUGAGAAACCGCAACCAUGGUUUCUCUGUGGGUACGACAGAGCCACGAAGGCAAGCGGUAAUCACCGAAAACCAAAGGAGAUAGAUAAACAAAUAUAUAUGCUGAUAUGAAACAGAACUACAGAUAUGAGCACGAUGUGAUAUAAGAGCAACUACAGUAGUAAUAGAAACAGGAUAAUAACUGAGCAAGAACGAAACUCCUACUGUAACCAAAAACUCAACUGAUAGGAUGCCUCAAGGGUAAAUAGUCCAAACCAAACACAAUCUGAUACUGCUAUAUUAGUCCACAGACCUUAAGCGUUGCCUGUCACAGAGCAGACACUGUCAACUUAUUCAUGCGUCCACCGACGACCUAUUCGGAUAUGUACACCCCUUGGUUGGUGGCCAAACCAAGCUGGUGUCUAGAAUACACUGUGCUGUGACUAAAUCAUGCUGAUAUGCUCAAAACGAAAACCGGCAAAAAGAGACCAGUGCCAUGGCUGAAGCCAAGUGUAAGGGCGUACAACACCGAACCACGAUCAACCAGAUCGAAACACACGACAAAGGAGUCUAUGUGUUGCCUGGACCCAAGGUCCACAGAUAUACAGUAUAUAUGCCAGCCUGCUCUACAUGUCUAUCCACAACUAACAUAAUACAAUUAAUGAGAUAUAGAUGAACGAACGAUAAACAAACAAUAGACAUGUAGGGACUACGAUAUUGAAUGAAAGAACAGAGGAAGGUGAAACGAUCUAACCGACUACCAGCUCGAAGCACCCCCCUGUCACUGUCGCGUCGGAACACUGAGUGCGCACGGAGUCUACCGGACCUAAGAAGAUCCACUAAGUCAGUAUCCAACCUGCUAACCUGAAGUACACAACUCACAAACCCCACACACAAGAUCCCCGUAAUCGGUUUCCCAAAAGUGAUCACCGUAACUCACCGGAAGUCCCGAAAACCACAUCGGGACGCCGUCGGGACCCACUAAGUAUCCCGAAACUCACCGACUCGUACCACGAGUUACUGUCACGCCUCGGGACCCAGCGGAAGCCCGCCCAGCGCGUGUCCAGACCCGCCAUACGUCUAAAACAUACAAGGCGUCUAAAAUAAAGCGGUAAAUAAAACAAUACAAGAAGGCAUCUAGGAGUAUCAGAGCAAAGUAACUACGAGUGUCGCGGAAGGCCUCGCCGUCCAGAUGAUGAGUGGCGAGCCAAACUCGAUCCCUCUCCUCCACGAAGGUGUCGCGGAAGAGCUUCUCCAUAUCCAUCAACCACUUUUCCAUGAUCCAGUGGUCGACCUUCUCGCCAUCGAAAAUCCUGGGGCUGCACCUCAUGAACUCAUUAAGGCGCUCCAUCAGUCUGUCCCACUCUGCUCCCUCGGCUAACACGGGAAAAACAGCUCCGAUCGGGGGCGCUUGAACAGAGGGUGCCACCAAACCCUCGCCCUGAGGCGCGGCCACAGGCGCAGCACGCGAAGAACUAGGCGCGGGGGAUGGCGCUCUCGGAGCGACGUCCACAACUGGUGCUCGCGGCGUAGGGGCCUGAGUCUCCCUAGAAGCUACUGGAUGCUGCAGUAAAAUGUCCUCUAGGCGCUUCAUCCGCGCCUCCUGUCGGCGCGCCGCUUCAGUCUGCUGUCGGGCUGCCUCCGCCUACUGAGUGACUAAAUUAGUGAGGGCCGCAAGCUAGCCCCUCAACUCACGGACCUCGCUGGAUCCGGAGGUAGCGGAGGUCUCGACCUCCUCAAAGUUUGCCGCAUUAUCCGCCCCGGCAGAUUGGGAGCGUGUGAUCGGCAUCGCACUAUAACAUCAUAAAAGCGUAAGUUAGCAAAAACCCACACUAUCCCAUCCCCGCUCAAAGAUAAUACCCAAAUCAGGCGAAAGUAAGGAAGUGUGCUUCACUACUAACUUCCGACGUUAUGUUGUCGGCCGCCAACGUAACCCUCUGCGAAGUUAGAAGCUAUACACUUCAAUUCAACUCUAACUUUUUAGAGUUAUCAAGAUACCCAAUCAAGGUACUUUCGCUCACAAAUCAAAUAGACCUCGUUUCUCACGAGCCUAUUUCCUAUAGUCCAACCGGCCUAAGGUUUGCUAGGUCCACUAAGACUCAACCCUAGGCUCUGAUACCAAACUAAUCUGUCACGCCCCGGGACCCAGCGGAAGCCCGCCCGGCGCGUGUCCAGACCCGCCGUACGUCUAAAACAUACAAGGCGUCUAAAAUAAAGCAGUAAAUAAAACAAUACAAGAAGGCAUCUAGGAGUAUCAGAGCAAUGUAACUACGAAACGCUACAACAAGGAAGAGAUCAUAAAACUGAUAAUCUACUAAGUAAAACAUAAGGUAAUACAAAAGGAGUCCCAUAACAAGCACUAAUCUGAAUACAAGGUGGUCUCUCUAUACGUAGUGCCAAAACUCUCCCUCUCUCUAAUCCCAACAAAAGAAUGAGUAACCACCUAUCUCAAACGAACUCUCUCCGAGCUAGCUACGCGACACCCUUGCCGCGAUCUCGUGCCUUCGCCGGUGCCGAAAGCUCUGAAAAGGAAACAUAGAAACAGGGGCGUGAGAACUAUUAAAUAAUAGUUCCCAGUGGGCAAUUACUGACUUCAGUGAAAUGCGCCACUAGUCCCAAAACUACAAAAGUGGGUCAGUGUACAAGUAUAAGCCAAAGCGAUAAGAACAACUAGGAAAUAAAUAUGAAUACUAUUCAACCAUGAUAUCUCUACUUCGCAUGAUUUGCAUAAGUAAGGAGGCAAUUACUACAAGUAUGUGCACAAUAGUACCCAACAUGCAAAUGCUUAAGUAUGUCACCAAUCCAAUGUUCACAAUGUAAAUAGUAAAGAUGUCAUUGUUUACUAUUCUAGUCAAUGUCCACUCGUCACUUUAAUUGUUUCAAGUUCCACUCUGAUAAGACCCACCCGAAGGCUGUCUGGCAUAAGACUCACCCGAAGGCUGUCUGGCUUUACCGUGCCUAAUGGCCCCGUGGUAGUCAACAUCCCCACCCUAGGAAUGAGCCUUUCCCACGGCAAUCCACUUCGGCGCCAAAUCCCGCACGGCGAACAUAUCGCGAUGGCCAACUCCGGAGUGCCGGCUUGUAGGGAGCGACCCUCACAAGCAUAUGCGAAUGAGCACAAUGGCAAGCAUGCGUAUAAGUCUGUCACAAGUACCAAGUCCUCAUGUCUAUGAACAUGGAAUGUAUCGAAUAUCACAAAGGCCUAUCACUAUGUCAUCAUGUCUCUAACAUGGAAUAUAGUCGAUGUCCAAUGGCCUAUCACUAUGUCUCUAUGUUGCAUUUUCAUAGUUUACUAAUUUCAAGUGCCCCUUUAUGACACUAUUGUUCAAAGAGUCCAAGCAUGGUAUCUAAGUUCAUGAACACAUAAUUCUACUCAUUUCAAACAUAGGAGACAUGUUCUCAACUUGCAAGGUCAACUACCCUUCACAAAGCAUGCAGUCUACACAUAUAGCUCUACUAUAUAGAGUGCAAUUUCAUGAUACAUAAAGCAUGCAUUUCAAGUGUUUUAAAAUUCACAUAAAUCAUGUUUAACAUGGAUUUGCAUUCAAAAAUACUUUACGACAAGUAUAGAAACAUAGGGGGCCAUUUUGCCCCAUGUUCAUGAAGCCAAACCCACCAAAACACUCGCGAUCCUUCGUAAGCUCCGACGAAGGUGUCGACUAGCCUCCUAACACCCUAGAGAUGUAGGAAUAAGGGUCAGACAAACGUAACGAACAACUACAAGGUUGAUCAUUAACCAUCUCAAGCUAGGGUUGGGAAAAAGUCACCUCAAGUGAAAAACCCUCUCUUAAUCUUCAAAUGGGAAGUAGAGGUCUUCCAAUCUAACCUAUAUAAAGGUUCCAAACCAUUCCAAUGAGAUCAAGAAGCCUCAAAUCAAGAAUCCCCAAAUCUAACCCUAAAAUCCAAAAUCUAGGGUUUAAACAAGCAAAAAGCCCCCAAAACUAAGAUCUAGAGGAAGGAACCUUGUCACUUACCUCUAUGAUGCUCCAAUCCAAGCUCAAAAUCUUCUAGAGUUGAAGAUUGAUCCACCACAAAGCUCCAAAAGCAAGCUCCAAGCCUCCAAAGGUGAGAAAUGAGGAAGAAGAUGGUGCUCCAAGGCCUCCAAGCAAGAACCUCUCCUUCUCCUUCUUUCUCUCCUUCUCCCUCUCUACUUCUCUCUCUCUCUCUCUCUAGAAUGCAAAAGGUUGAGAGAAAUGAGGGAAAGAGAGAGGAGAAAGGUUCUCUAUAGCCUCUAAAGCAACAAAAUCCAGAUAAGCCCCUCAAAAAUCCACUCUGUGCACUGCCCGGUCUGGGCUGCUCACGCGCUGAGGGACCGGUCUCUCCCUGCAUGGGACCGGUCUCUCGCGUCGAACUCGCAAAACCAACGUUCGGGAACCGGUCUCUCCCCGCGCAGACGCGCUCGGGGACCGGUCUCGCCUGCCAGGGAUCGGUUGCCUCGCCAGCUGCCGCAACACUGAGCUGAGGGGACCGGUCUCUUACAUCAGGGACCGGUCCCCGAGAGUGAAAACUCUCAGGACAAGCCAAAACUCUAGAGAUCGAACUUUUAGGCCGGUAUACAUCGACGGCCCUCCACCAAGUGUGGAAAAGUUCGGAAUACAUAUCGAACACUCGAACCUCACAAUUUGCAAAGGUCCAGUGUGCUACAGUUACCCGCUGCCACAAAACACACUAAUUUGGAUGUCUUGGCAGCAAACACAAGAUAACACCACUACACAAUUAUCGCCGAAUAAUUGUACGAAUACGGUUUCUCGGAAGCGUCUAUUUCGACACCGGAAUCCACUGUCGCUCACCGAUCAUCACCGAACCCACAAAAUAAUGAUGGUGACCAGCCAACAAGGCUCAGUGACAAUUCACAAGAUAAGCAAACCACGUCGGAAGAAAUCUGAACUGAAGCCGUGUUCUUUCGGCGAAUUUCGCCGAAAAACGCACCGAAAUCGACUUUUCGAUUUCCGCGAAAGCUACAGGAUCAUGGACAAUCAGUCCAGAGGUCAACCAGACUCAUACACACUAUCCAUAGUGGCCCUAGGGUGCACAAUUGUACAAAAGUCCCUCUAAUUACAUGAAAUCCUAUCAUUUCAUGUAAUUUGAGCGAUUAAGUGGCUCGUUCACGCAAACCGAGGACUUCCAAGGUCUGUCGAGACACGUAUUGACAGGUCUGGAUGUGCCGGAGGCCGUGCUUACAACCUGGAGCACAACGGCUCACUGUGGGAGGCGCGGGCGCAACCCGAAGAUUCUGGGAACAGCACACAGUCGGGGAAAAACACGCUGAACAGGACUAACCGGACUCUGUUGAUCCAAAGUAAGGUGAGCAUUGUGAUCAGCACUGACCAGCGAUCACCGUGCUCACCUCUGGAGGCAUCGGAACAGCCUCGGAUCGCCGGAACAACGCACGCAAACCAGAAACAGUAGCCAACAAGGCUCUAACAGGGUUGACAUCGCCGAAACAGCUGAACGGGGCAUUCCCGACAGAAACCAAGGUGAGCACAAUGAUCAGCAAUGAGUCACGAUCAUCGUGCUCCCUUCCGUAUUGAUCGGGAGGUCUCGGGAAGCUCAGAACAACAAACCCACUCAAAUAAGCCCUAUUUCGGGCUUGGCCGGAGCAAGCUUGCUCCAGCCGGCUUCCGGCGGCACGGCGGCACGUGCGGGGGUCAGCGAUGGGUGCGGGGGAGGUGAGGAGUACGGGGCUCACCUCGGGUGGCGGCUGAGAGCGGCGGCGGCGGUGGUGGAACAACCCAAGCCCGUGCGGGCUGAGCUCGGGUUCCACAGGCACAGACGGCCACAGUGGCGGCCGGGGGCUCAGGGACGGCGACGAGGAGUCGCCUGCGGUCGGCGGGAGGUGGCACGGGUGGCUCCGGGCGGCGGCGGCGCCAGGGAGGGCUCGCAAGGUUUGCUCAGCCCGAGCAGACCUUGAGCGGCCACAGACUGGCCGAGGCGGCGACGGCGGCUCGCUCGGGCGGCAGCGACCGGCGGGGAUGGUCGCCAAGGGUACGGGGACACCGGCGGGAGCGGGCUCAGGCGGUGGUUGCGCGCGGGGAGGCCGCGAGUUAGUCUCGGCCCAAGCUCGGCCCGAGCUCGGCCUGGUAGGCUGCAGCGAGCACAGGCGGCGGCAGCGGCGCUAGGGGCGGUUCGGGGCGGCGGCGACCAGCUGCCUGAGGUUAGGGAAGGGUGGAGGCGGCCAAGGUGGUGGGUUCGAGUCCUCCCCCUUAGCUCGGGUCCAAGAUGGUGGAGAGGAAAGUGGAAACAAGAGAGGGAGAGGAAGAAAAAUAGGCUGAGGUGGUGGCCGGAGAUCAGUCGGCGGCGGUCAGGGGGCGUGCGGCUAGGGCAGGGGAAGCAAAGAGGGGCCGCUAGGGUCAGCUGGGUGGCUAGGGUUAGGGUUCCAAUAUAGAAAACCCUAGAUAGCUACAUUUAUACCUAGCUCCAAACUGCGGAAAAGCCCAUCUAAACUCAAUAUUUUAUAUUGAGUCCUCUACAGCGCGAGUAAAACGUGCAAAUGCCCCUCCACCUCCUGUUUCACGCGAAACGAUGCAUAAAAUGUCACGACUUUUAUGAAAUUACCCUUUUGCCAACACCGACCUCUCCUCGAUCAACGCGCGAUCUAUGCAGAUCCGUCCGUCAGAUUUGCGAAGGAUCACGCCAGUGCGAUCAACGCGACGGAGACAAUAGAGUCACGAUUUUGGUUUACCUCGAUCAGUCACGGAUUCGCGACAAAAUCCAAAAUCCAUUCUCUCUCCCAAAGGCCAAACUGACGCACAAUUACAUAAGAAACAUGUAUUUUCAGAUUUUCUCGAAAUUUGUGCGUCAAACCCAAAAUCCGUCAGCGCCAUCAGUUCUAGAAUAGCUGAGUCGGUCGAAACGAGAUAUUAGACUGCUAUGAAUGGAGUCCGGUAUGAGCCAGAAGCCAACUCUACGCAUUAAGCUCUCCGGAAAACCAAGUUACUAUUCACUUUAAGUGAAACUUGGAAAUCGCGUAGAAUCUCCGUUUUAACUCAUUUUCGCCCGAAACUUGACGAGUGCUUUUGUAAUUAAAUUACACACAAAAACAUCGUCGACUGAGAGUUUAGCUAUACUGCCAAAAUCUCGGUCCUUACAUUGGCGCUACACUAAAAAUCUCGAUUCUCGGAAUAAGAGCUAUAGGUCGAAACACCGUCAAUGAGCCUCAGAAUAUCUGAAAAAAUUCGAAACACAAAUCAAACACUCGAACCUCGCAAUUUGCUAAAGUUCAGUGUGUUACAUGAAAUCUCGAAUGCAAUGUUGCUGGUAGAGCAAGGUGGCACAGGAAACGAAGUCGCCGGAGAAGCCGUGGAAGGUUGAUGGGGUGGACCGGUCAAAGUGGGAGGCAUGCUUUGGAAAGGAUUUACGGUUUUUAACUUGGUUUAGGGUGUGUUUCGUUUAAUGUAAAAGAUGGUGAAAAAAAAAUUUGGUGAAAAAUAGUUUGCGGGUUCGAAUUUAAAAAAAUUUCGUCGAACCUUCUUUCGUUUUCCACGCGAGACAGACGAAAAGGAAAUGGCGUAGGGCGAAAAUUGCCGCUCACGCCUCAUCCCUCACGGGCAUGUUUUCACGCGGUCCAUAAGGCCAUUUCAUUUUGGCCUCGUGGACCACGUGAGAGGGAGGUCCAUAUAUAUAUAUAUAUAUUUUUAUUUAUAAAUAUUUAUUUAUUUUUUAUUAUAUAUAAUAUUUUAUUUUUAAUAUAAAGAUAUUAAUAUAUAAUAUUUUAUUUAUAAGUUUGUAACUAUUUAUUAAUAUCCCUAAAUAUAUAACGCUUAUAUAUUAUGCAAUAUGUUUAUUAUAAUUUUAAAUAUAUUUAAUCUACAAAUAGAAAUUAGAAUAAUAAUAUAUAUAUAAGAUAAUAAUUAUUAUAUAUUAAUAAUAUAUAAUAAAAAAUAUAUUAAAUAAUUUUUUAUCUAUUUUUUUCCUACAAACCAAAUACUAAACAACAUAAAAAAAUUUUCCCACUAAAAAUUUUUUUACACCGAAAUUUUUUUUUUCACAGUUUUACGUGGAACCAAACACACCCUUAGGAUUUUUUUCAUUUCACACGAGAGGAGAAGGUGAAAAGGCACUAUAUGCCUCAUAGUACAAGAAAGUUUCAAUAAAAAAAAUAUAUAAUAAAAUAAUUAGGGCAACAUUUUGUGGCCAACUAUUAUUUGGCCAUACAUAUUAAUGUUAUAGUGGGGAAAUUGUAAAACAACUACAAAUACAAAGCAAUUUUUGCGCACAUUUUCGCCAUUAUAAUUUUGUUGGCCAAAUAUUAUAACUAGCCACAAAACACAUUUAGAAUUUAUGGCUAUAUGUAUUGCCACAACAAAUAGAAUUUUUUUUGCGGCCAACAAAUAAAAAUAGCCACAAAAUGCUUAGAAAAUUGUGGCGACAAAUUCAUCACAGUUAUUUCUUAUUGUUUUUGUGACCAAAAUUUGCUAUGAUUAGUGAAAAAAUGGGUGCAUAUAGUGCAUCGAAUUAGUGGCAAUAAUUAAAAAUUCCCCACAAUAGAUAUAUGAUAAUUUGGGUUAAGAUUAAUAGUGAGGACAAGUUGAAAGACGCCACAAAAAUGGUGCAUAUUACGGCGGUCAUAAAUUCCCCACAAAUAAUUUGCCACAAAAAGCCCUCUUUCUUGUAGUGAUUGUUUACCUAGCUUCAUUUACAAAGGCAUAGUAGUGUUUAUUCUGCAUAGCAUAAUUAUUGUACUAUUUUCUUGUUUAUUUAUCUACUUAUGCUUUGAUAGACCUAGUAGGAAAAUCUGUGAGGUCGGCGGCUGAAUCCACUGAAAACUUCUUUUAGUUCUCACCCCCUGUUUUGCAGACCCAACCAUGAGUGGAGCGGCACCGAUUCGAGGCAUGGGCGUUGCGUCUUAGAUAGCAGGGUCAUCCAGUUUAGAUCACCUAUGUACAAGCAAAAGAAUGUAAAGGUUUAUUUGAAAUGGAAAUGUAAUUGGAAGUGUAAUUGUAUUUUGAGGAGUUUAUGUAUUAAAUUUGCGAUUAUAUGUAAAAUGUGUAUGUUCAAGUGUUGUAAUAGCUAGGCUUAAAUUUCUCACUCUUGUAAUAUGCCCUCGUGCAAUUUAUGUUUGUUGAUUGUUUUUUCCUUGGACAAAACUCUAUAUACAUGAUGUUGUUGAGCCUUGGACGCACAGAGAAGGCUCUAUCCAUUCUGCGAUCUGUGCUGUCAUGCACCGGAGCCGAUUUUAAAUGCCUUUUUAAAUCGAUUACCAUUUUUGAAAUCAAAGCUGGGGAAAACGUUUUCAUUUUUUUUUUCAACCCGGCCCACGUGACGUACAGAUCCGCCACAAAUACUAAGUUCCUCUGUCCACUCGGACAGAGUCUCCUUUGUAUUUGCACGGCGUACCAACAGUUACAUUAGGAUCUCAACCACAACCUACAUUUACCAAUCAACAAUCAAUUCAUGCCAUGCAUUUCCAUAGAGCUAACAAUCCGUAGAAAUGAUGCAUACUUCUAAACACUCCUUAGGCGCUGGAUGAUGCAAUGCACAAUACAACAAGCAUCCUAUUUAAAAGUGCUCCCUAUCCAGAAGCUUUGUUUGUAAACUCUAAUUCAAUUAUUCAAGUAAAUCAUUCGAAAACCUUUUUAAAACUGUUUCCCACUCGGAAGGUAGAAAACCACGAUGCAUAAAUAUACAAAUCCAAAACCAAGAACCUAUAAAACUAAUAUCACAGAUCCACAAUCUCUAAUCACAUGCAUAAUGAAAAUCAUCAACUCGAACAAUUCACGAAUAUUCAAACAUCAAAUAUGAUCAUCUAACUGAACUAUUUAUUAUAAAUUACUAAAUACAGGAAUAAAAUAUAACCUGGGUGACGGUCGCUACUGCCGACUAGCUAGAUCGUCCUCCCGUCGAGCCCAAAUACCAACUCCUCGCCCGAUUCACCUGGGGGAAUGGGGGUCAGAAACCGCAAUCAAAGUUUCCCAGUGGGUACGGCAGAGCCACGAAGGCAAGUCGUAAUCACCGGAAACCAAAGGAGAUAGAACAACUGUAAUACACUGAAUUUUUGCAAUUUGCGGAGUUCGAGUGUGUGGAAUGAUAUGUGGAACUGUCCUACAUGUUCUAAAGGGCUUGGACAAGUUUUUGUACAAGUUAGAGAAUGAUUGGAUGGCCAAAAAUAAGAAAGUGCAUUGAUCUGGCGAAAUCAGCAUUUUUCUGCUUGAUGUACCGGUACAGCCAUCAUUGUGUACCGGUAAACAGUGGCAGAAACGUAGCAGCAGGAUUAAUUUGGUAAAUUCACACCUUAUGCUUAUCUUCUUAACCCCAGCACGACUUUAGGAGCUCAGGGAAAGUUGCUGGAGCUCAGGACAAGCUACUUUCACCUUCUCCACUCUCUCUCUCUAGGUUUUUUCUCUCUCUACAUAGAAAUCGACGAUUUAGCUCGAUUUUGUCGCACCGCUUGUUCUUCGCUAUUUGCGAGUGUCGCAGAGCUUACAUGGACGUAUGAGAGAGUAUUUUGGAAGGUUCUUCGCAGCUCGGAACCAGUAGCUUACUGGUUGGAUAUUUGAUAAGGUAAUCGACUCACUUUUUCCGUUAUCGACGUUCUAUUAGUCGAAUUGAGUAUUGAUUUCGGGUUUUUACUUCCAGUUGUGUUAGACUGAGGUUUCAGCAGCUAGAGAUGAGUUAAUUAUCUGUGAUUUAACCUUCUUAGACCAGGGAUAAGCUACUUUGAAGCUUGAUAAAGGUAAUUAGUUAACUAUGAAUCUAAAUCGGAACUAAAUGCGAAUUAUUUGAGCGAACUAAUGCAGUUUGGAUUGUUCUCUUCGCAGCAGGUUUUUGAACCAAGUUGAGCUUAAUUGGUGACCUUGGGGACUAGUUUAGAAGGUCCUGAGGUAUGCAGGAAUUUCAGUUAGAAACCUAAUUUCAUGAGAGUUCGACUAUAAUAGCUUGUAUACAAGCUUAUUGAUGCCGUUUUGGUGAUGUUCGUAGCAAGAGUGCGACCGACUCUUCGGACCACCUUCGGCUGACUUGUGGGAGCCUUUGGAGACUUAACUUGAGGUACUAAGUGCACCAAAACAGCGAUUUAAGUUACUACUUUGUACGAAGUGUGAAUUAGGCCGAAAUUGGAUAUUUCGAUUGUAGUUUUGAUACGGCUUUGAUACUUGAUUUCAGCAGGUUCAGGGACCAAUUGAGCUGAUUUUAGGGACCCCUUUGGGCUGGUUUGAGCUUAGUAAUAGGUGGGUUUGACCUAACCAGAGCAAGUGAAGCUCCCUUAUAUUCUAUAUGUUACUAUAGAAUUGAUAUGGUCGUGCGUUAUUGUUACUAUAUGGUUGCUAAAGGAUUUGGAACAUCUUUGCUAUAACAUUUGAUAUAACGGAAAUAGAACCUCUAUGAAGUAGAGAGAACUCAUGCAUAUUUGUAUUUAUGCUCGUAUUUAUGUGUAUGUUUAGUUCAGUUGAGUAACUAAUGGACAUAUGCUUUUGUAAAGAAGACAACAAUGACAUUACUCGUGACUGUUUUGAUAGUACCUUUAUAGUAGAAAGUUCUAAUGCAUAAAUGAAUUAGCAUUACUUUCAUGUGCUUACUAAUCUAGUGGACGUUAGCUAUUGUCAUUGUUAUUAUAUUGAGAAUUCCGAUCAAUAGAUCGAGAGUAAGAACAUAGCAUACUAUGCCAUGAUGUUUGAGAUAUGUGGGACUAUGGACCUUGCUUACUUGCCAUCAUGCUCAUUCGCACACGCUUGUGAGGGUAGCUCCCUACAAGCCGGCACUCCGGAGUUGGCCUACGCGACAGUUGCUCGCCCGUGCAGGAUUGGGUGCCGAAGUGGAUUGCCGUGGAGAGUGUAUACUACCACGGGGCCAUUAGACACGGCGCAAGCCGGACUACCUUGUGUAGGUCCUGAUACAUGAAAGGAAAACUCUAAAUGAAAUGAAAGUUUUAAAUGACAGUUGACAGUAAUGAAUGGUUACCAAUUAUAGUGUACAGUAGUUACUUACACAAUCGUGCUUAUGUUCAUGUUUAUGUUCAUGAUUACCGCAAUUGCUAUGCCUUUAUUAUGCAAAUGAUUCGUUGCUGUAGAAAGUGAUUACAUGUUGAUUUCAUGCUUAUUACUUGCUAGUAUCAUAAAUAUAUCAUGCAAUUAUUGCUUUUACUUUCAUUCAGUACAUCAUGAGCCUAGUGGUGUAAUUCGCCGAGGCUGGCGGCUUACCCACUGGGAACUAUUGUUAAUAGUUCUCACGCCCUUUUUAUGGUUGUUUUUACAGAGCCAUUGACAGAAGAGGCUAGGGAUCGUGGCAAGGGAGUCGCGUCUAGCUAGACACUGCUAGGGGCUUGCUAGUUGAUCACCUUGCUACUCGGGCUACAGCCGAGGGUGAUGUCCCUGUAUAUAGAGAGACUGCCAUCGUACAUGUUUUUGAGUAGCCUCUGAUGUAUAUGAGUUUUUAGAACCAGAGAUUAUAGUUUUCUUACUUCUCUUUGAUGUUGAGAUUUUGGGCUGUAUACUCCUUGUUCUUCUGUUGAUGAUAUUGUCAACUUGUACUUUGCUCUGAUAUCAGGAUAGAAUUUUCUAUGUUUCUUCUUAUCGACUUGCUUCCUUAUAGACGCCUUAUAUACUGCGGGUCUGUGCACGUACCGGAUAUGCUUCCGCUGGUACCCGGGCAUGACAACAACAGAUAUGUAUAUGAUAUGAUAUAAGAGAAACUACAGUAGUAAUAGAAACAGGAUAAUAACUGAGUAAGAACGAAACUACUACUAUAACAAAACUCAACUGAACGGAUGCCUCAAGGGUAAAUAGUCCAAAAUCAAACCCAAUCUGAUGCUGCUAUAUUAGUCCGCAGAGCUCAAGCGUUGCCUGUCACAGAGCAGACACUGCCAAUGAUUCAUGCGUCCAUCGACACCUAUCCGGAUACGUACACCCCUUGGUUGGUGGCCAAACCAACUUGGUGUCUAGAAUACACAUUUGUUUGAAAUGAAAAAAAAAAAAUUCAUAAUCAUAAUCGAAACCGAUUAGAUUCAAACUCAAACAAUUUUGAUAGGUCUCAUGUUGACCAGAAAAUUUUGGGGCCAAUAAUUAUAAUUUAAAAUCCACAAUAGGCCCAUUCAUAAAUGUGAAUUAAUGGCCUCAUGAAAGCUCUUUAAAAUUUUAGGCCUAUACAAUAAUUCGGGCCUCAUCUCAGCCCAAUGAAUAAUUGUGUCCAACAAGUUUCAUCAAAGUGGGCCCAAUUUCAGCUCAAUUCAUGGGAUCACGGCCCACAUUUUCACUCACGUUUGAAAAUUGAAUUUCGAAUAUCGCACCACCUCCUGCGGUGGCGGCGGCACCGGUGACGGCUUUUCCUCCGACGGCAUCGGGUUCAUCGGCUCCUAUUCCCGAUGUACUUGAGGCCGAGCUGGAGCGAUCGUUGGCGGCACUGACGGCAUUCAAGGGAUUCAACCCACCACCCUUCAGCGGCGACGUGAAGGACCCGUGGUCGGUGGAGUUGUGGUUGGCUGCGAUGGAAGCCUUGUUCGAGGAUAUCUACACCCUCGAGAAGGAUAAAGUUCACAUUGCGGCUCACUGUUUCGAUGGGUCGGCUCGAUUGUGGUGGACUCAGGCGAAGAAGAAUCACUCGUUGGAUUCCGCUUCCGUUACUUGGGAGGCGUUUCGGGAGAUGUUGUUGAUGGAGUACUUUCCCGAGAGUGACAAGCGCAAGAUCAAGGAGGAUUUCCGCAAGUUAAGGCAAGGUAGCCGAACGGUGCGGGAGUACGAAAGGGAGUUCACGCACAUGAUCAAUUGCGUGCCGGGCUUGGUCCACGGUGAUAGGGACCGAGCGGAGGUUUUUGAGCACGGGUUGCGACCCGAAAUAUUCAAGGUCAUUCAUGGAUUCCGCUUGAAGACCUACGAGGAGGUACUUGACCGCGCGCUUUGGGUGGAGCGCGGCAAUGCUAUUGCGCGAGAGGAGCUCGAGGCAUUUGAGAAGGACAAGGAAAAAGAUAAAUCCAAGAAGCGGACAGCUAGUGGAUCUGCGGGGCAAUCGAGUUCAAAGCGACCAUCGCGACCUCAUCGAUCACAAAAUUCGAUUUUAAAUUUUUAAACCCUAAGAAAAUAUCUGUUAUCCUAAUAACCCUAUUCGAAAUUCGAUUUCGAACUUCGAACCAACUCCCAAAAUAUCUCUCAACCAACAUUCAUUCGAAUUUUGAAUACCUAUCCAUCCCACAACCCAUUCAAAAUUCAAUUUUGAAUUUCGAAUCCCCAACCAACAUCCAUUCGAAUUUUGAAUACCUAACCACCCAACAACCGAUUCAAAAUUCGAUUUUGAAUUUUGAAUCCCUAACUGACUCCCCAAAAUAUCCUUCAACCAUCCAACAACUGAUUCAAAAUUCGAUUUCAAAUUUAGAAUCCCUAACCAAUUUCCAAAAAUCCUCCAACCAUCCAACAACCCAUUCAAAAUUCGAUUUUGAAUUUCGAAUUCCCAACCAAUUCCAACAAUCCAACAACCGAUUCAAAAUUCGAUUUCGAAUUUCGAAUCUCCAACCAAUUUCCAAAAAUCCUCCAACCAUCCAACAACCUAUUCAAAAUUUAAAUUCGAAUUUAGAAUCCCUCAAAAUAUCUCUCACCACCCCUCCCAUUAUAAAUACGAGAACCGAAAUCAAACAUGGGAGAAUUUUUUUACGGAGACGAUACGAUAGACAAAGAACAAAAAAAAUAGAUAGAUUGCUACACUCGUUCCGACAUACAAAAAAUUAAAAAAAAGGAGAUAUCGCUGAGCCGCGGAAAGGAGGAGGAUCGCCAAGCCGCGGAAAAGAGGAGAAAUCGCCGAGCCGCGAAAAGGAGGAGAGAUCGCCGAGCCGCGGAAAGGUGAAGGAAUCGUCGAGCUGAUUCAUCCAAUCCGUCAUUUGAUCAACAGGUAAAGAAAAAAAAGAAAAAAAAUGAAGAAGAAGAAAAAAAAAUCUCUUUUCUCCCUCAUUUUUUUUCUUUUUUGGUCUUGCGAUUGUAGCUAUCCAUACCAUCUAGAUGGCUUCGAUGGGAGAGUGGAGGGGAAUCUUUGAUUCCCCGUUUCUUCAGACCUCUCAAUACCCCCUUCGAAGUUGUUGAUGAUGAAAUGGGUGAUCUACAUUGCCGCGACCACCCCAACAUCGCCGGUUUGAUACUUUCGAAAGAAGAGGGGAAGGGAAUCUUUGAUUCCCUAUUUCUUCGGACCCUUCAAUAUUUCUUCGAAAAUGUCAAAUCAAAUCCGACGGCCGAACAGAUCCGUGCCACCGUCAACAACUUCGCGGACGACAACUACAACAUCGCUGGUUUGAUACUUUCGAAAGAAGAAGGGAGAGGAAUCUUUGAUUCCCCGUUUCUUCAGACCCUUCAAUAUUUCUUUGAAAAUGUCAAAUCAAAUCCGACGGCCGAACAGAUCUUUGCCACCGUCAACAACUUCGCCGACGACAUCUACAGCAUCGCCGGGAAAGUAUCGCCAGAAGAGGGGAUGGGAAUCAAAGAUUCCCCGUUUCUUCGGACCCCAAAUCAAAAUUAAAACGGAAAUUUCUUCGGACCCCAAAUCAGAACUAAACGGGGAUUUCUUCGUGUCUGCCACUACGAAUGACGCACCUCGCACGGUCAAUGGGUUUUAGCCGUGGGGUAGUAUUCAUGAUUCAAAUUGGUAUUUAUAUGUAUAUGGGUAUCAGGUAUCGCGGGUCCAUGGCUUCCAAUAGAUGCAAGCACCUACUAUUAAUUACCCCCGUAGCAUUGGGGCACCUUCGAUUAAGAGACCUUUAUAGAUGGGAUGAGAUGAAUCGUGUCUUGGUUCAUUGAAUCCUAAGUAUAUGUAUUAGGAUUCAGUUGGAUUUGAGAUUGACUAGGUCCUAAGUAUAUGUGUUAAGACAUAGUCGAUAUUAAACUUUAUGUAUUAGAGUCUAAUUGGCCCCAAAUAUAUGUAUUGAGGUAGGUCGAACUUGAUAUUACCCGAAGGUGGAGAGUGGUUAAUUCCUGAGUGUAUGUGUCAGGAUUAACCGAGUUUGAUAUAUUUUUCACUCUAGUUAUAUGUGCUAGAGUAAGGAUCUGACUAAGCCCUAAGGUAUUGCAUUAGGGUUCGUCGGAUUUGAUUUGUAUGAGCUCUAAGUAUAUGUAUUAGAGCUCAAUCGGGUAUGGGUUUCACUCUAUGUAAGUGUGCUAGAGCAAAAAGGCUGACUAAACCCUAAGUGUAUGUAUUAGGGCUUGUCGAGCUUGGUUUGACUUCCACUCUAGGUAUAUGUGCUAGAGUAAAAGAUUGACUAGACCCCAAAGGUAUGUAUUAGGGUUAGUCGGAUGAACUCUAAGUAUAUGUGUUAGAGUUCGAAUGAAUUUGAUAUCAUUUGACUGAAUUCUAAGUAUAUAAUUUAGAACUCUGUCGAUUUGGAGAAGUUUUGCCUUAAUAUAUGUGCUAAGGGGGGUGGGGUUGACUUAACCCUAAGUAUAUGUAUUAGGGGUAGUCGAUAUUUGAUUUUUACUCCAGGUAUAUAUGCUAGAGUAAAGAGGUUUAUGAUGAACUUGGUAUGGUUUGGUUUAUGGGGUUUGGUUUAUGAUUCAUGAGAUUUGGUUCAUGAAUUUGGGUAUGGUUCAUGGGAUUUGGAUAUGGUUCAUGAGGUUUGGUAUAUGGUUCAUGGUUCAUGAACUUAAUUCAUUUGGUUCACAAACUUAGUUUAUUGUUCAUGAGAUUUGGGUAUUGGAUUUGAUUCAUGAACUUGAAUAUGGUUCAUGGAUGAGGUUUAUGAACUUGGUUUAUGGUUCAUGGUUUAUGAUUCAUGAACUUGGUUUAUGGUUCAUGAGGUUUAUGGACUUGGUUUAUGGAUUUAUGGUUCAUGAGGUUUAUGGCUCAUGAUAUUUAGUUCAUGAACUAGGGUAUGAUUUAUGGGAUUGGGUUCAUAAACUUGGUGUAUGGUUCAUGGUGUUUGGUUUAUGAUUUAUAAGGUUGAGUAUGUGGAUCGGGUUCAUGAGCGUGGAUAUGGUUUAUGAGGUUUGGUUCAUGGAUAUGGUCCAUGAGAUUUGGAUAUGGUUUAUGAAUUUGGUGUAUAUGAGAUUUGGUUCAUGAACUUGGGCAUGAUUCAUGAGAUAUGGUGUAUGGUCCAUGAAAUUUGGUUCAUGAGACUUGGUUCAUGAACAUGGGAUUAGGAUUUGGGAUUUGGUUCACGAACUUAGGUAUGGUUUAGGUUCAUGAGCCUAUGUUGGAAGUUGGAUUUGGGUUUUGGGUUUAGAUUUGGAUUGUGGACUUGGUUUGGGUUAGGUUUGGGUUUUGGUUUUGGGUUCGGGUUUCGGUUUGGAUUUUUGUUUUAUUUAUAGACUUGGUUUGGGUUGGGUUUGGAUUUUAUUUGUGGAAUGGAUUUGGGUUCUUUAUGUGGACUUGGUUUGGGUUAGGUUUGAAUGUGGACUUGAUUUGGGUUUGGGUUUGGAUUUAAUUUGGGUUUUGGGUUUGGGUUUAUUUGGGUUUUGGGUUUGAGUUUAUUUGUAGACUGUAUUUGGUUUUGGGUUUGGAUUUGAUUUGGUUUGGAUUUGGGUUCGGAUUUUAUUUGGGUUUUGGUUUGGUUUGGGUUUAUUUGUGGACUGUAUUUGGUUUGGGUUUGGAUUUGAUUUGGGUUUUGGUUUGGUUUGGGUUCUUAUGUGAACUUGGUUUGGUUUUCAGUUCUAUUUCGAGUUCGAGGCAAUCCUCUUUUGAUUUUGCAACUUGAUUCGGAUCCGAAAAAAUCCCUUUUUGAUUUUGGUUUGAUUUGGAGUCCGAAGAAAUCCCCUUUUGAUCUAGAUUUGGAUUUGGGGUCCGAAGAAAUCCCCGUUUUGAUUUUUCAAUUUGAUUUGGGCUCCGAAGAAAUCCCCGUUUGAUUUCGAUUUGGAUUUGAUUUUCCAAUUUGGUUUGGGGUCCGAAGAAAUCCCCGUUUGAUUCUCCAAUUGGAUUUGAUUUGGGGUCCGAAGAAAUCCCCGUUUGAUUCUCUAAUUUGGAUUUGAUUUUUCAAUUUGAUUUGGGGUCCGAAGAAAUUCCCGUUUGAUUCUCCAAUUGGAUUUGAUUUGUGUAACACACUGGACCUUUGCAAAUUGCGAGGUUCGAGUGAUUGGCCGUGUUCUGAGUCUUUCCAGACUUUCUGGUGGGUCGUUGACAGUGUUCCGACCUAUGGCUCGCAUCCCGAGAAUCGUAGUAUUUUAUGUAGCGCUAAGCUCACUAAAGAGUUAGACUUAGCCUACCCUCGGAUUGCAUUCUACACGAGGUGUAACCGGUGACAGGUCGAUGGUUGUACCGGUACACAUUUUGUACCGGUACACCCUUGAUGGUCGUACCGGUACACUUGUGGCAAAUUACGAACCUGAGCCUCGGGUUUGCAUUUUCGUAGGAUGUGUACCGGUACACUUUCCCGUGUACCGGUACACUUUGGCACNAAGCUAGUUAUUUCGUUUCUUCUAUUUGUUCUACUGCUUGCCUUUACUUCCGCUUUUAUUGUAGACGCCUUAUAUGUGUAGACAUAUGGCGGGUCUGGGCACGCUACCGGGAGGGCCUCCGCCGGUCCCGGGGCGUGACAAUUUGGGGUCCGAAGAAAUCCCCAUUUGAUCUUGAUUUGGGGUCCGAAGAAAUCCUCAUUUUAAUUUUGAUUUGGGGUCCGAAGAAAUCCCCAUUUGGUUCUGAUUUGGGGUCCGAAGAAAUUUCCGUUUUGAUUCCAAUUUGGGGUCCGAAGAAACCCCCAUUUUAAUUUUGAUUUGGGGUCCGAAGAAACAGGGAAUCAAGAUUCCCCUCCCCUCUUCUGGCGAUACUUCCCCGGCGAUGCUGUAGAUGUCGUCGGCGAAGUUGUUGACAGUGGCACGGAUCUGUUCGGCCGUCGGAUUUGAUUUGAUAUUUUCGAAGAAAUAUUGAAGGGUCCGAAGAAACGGGGAAUCAAAGAUUCCCCUCCCUUCUUCUUUCGAAAGUAUCAAACGGGCGAUGCUGUAGAUGUCGUCGGCGAAGUUGUUGACGGUGGCACGGAUCUGUUCGGCCAUUGGAUUUUGAUUUGACAUUUUCGAAGAAAUAUUGAAGGGUCCGAAGAAACGGGGAAUCAAAGAUUCUCCUCCCCUCUUCUUUCGAAAGUAUCAAACCGACGAUGUUGGAGUGGUCGCGGCAAUGUAGAUCACCCAUUCCAUCAUCAACAACUUCGAAUAGGGUAUUGAGAGGUCCGAAGAAACGGGGAAUCAAAGAUUUCCCUCCACUCUCCCAUCGAAGCCAUCUAGAUGGUAUAGAUAGCUACGAUCGCAGGACCAAAAAAGAAAAAAAAAAAGAACGGGGAAGAAAAGAGAUUUUUCUUCUUCUUCUUCAUUUUUCUUUUUCUUUUUUUUUUACCUGUUGAUCAAAUGACGGAUUGGAUGAAUCAGCUCGACGAUUCCUCCACCUUUCUGCGGCUCGGCGAUCUCUCCUCCUUUUCGCGGCUCGGCGAUUUCUCCUCCUUUCCGCGGCUCGGCGAUCCUCCUCCUUUCCACGGCUCGGUGAUAUCUCCUUUUUUUUGAAGUUUUUGUAUGUCGGAACGAGUGUAGCAAUCUAUCUAUUUUUUUUUUGUUUUUGUCUAUCGUAUCGUAUUCGUAAAAAAAUUCUCCCAUGUUUGAUUUCGGUUCUCGUAUUUAUAAUGGGAGGGGUGGUGAGAGAUAUUUUGAGGGAUUCUAAAUUCGAAUUUAAAUUUUGAAUAGGUUGUUGGAUGGUUGGAGGAUUUUUGGGAAUUGGUUGGAGAUUCGAAAUUCGAAAUCGAAUUUUGAAUCGGUUGUUGGAUGGUUGAAGGAUAUUUUGGAGAGUCGGUUAGGGAUUCAAAAUUCAAAAUCGAAUUUUGAAUCGGUUGUUAGGUAGUUAGGUAUUCAAAAUUCGAAUGGAUGUUGGUUGGGGAUUCGAAAUUCAAAAUUGAAUUUUGAAUGGGUUGUGGGAUGGAUAGGUAUUCAAAAUUCAAAUGAAUGUUGGUUGAGAGAUAUUUUGGGAGUUGGUUCGAAGUUCGAAAUCGAAUUUCGAAUAGGGUUAUUAGGAUAACAGAUAUUUUCUUGGGGUUUAAAAAUUUAAAAUCGAAUUUGAAUAUGAUAUUCGAAAUUGAAUUUUCAAACGUGGGUGAAAAUGUGGGCCGUGAUCCCAUGAAUUGAGCUAAAAUUGGGUCCACUUUGAUAAAACUUGUUGGCACAAUUAUUCAUUGGACUGAGAUGAGGCCCGAAUUAUUGUAUAGGCCUAAAAUUUUAAAGGGCUUUCAUGAGGCCUAUUAAUUCACAUUUAUGAAUGGGCCUAUUGUAUAUUUAAACUAUAAUUAUUGGCCCAAAAAAAUUAAUGGUAUGAGUCCGAAUUUAAUCAAUUUUGAUUAGGACUACUUACCUCAAAUUUUCUUUUUACUUCAAACAAAUUUCUUCGGACCCCAAAUCAGAACUAAACGGGGAUUUCUUCGGACCCCAAAUCAAAAUCAAAACGGAAAUUUCUUUGGACUCCAAAUCAAAUCCAAUUGGAGAAUCAAACGGGAUUUCUUCGGACCCCAAAUUAAAAUCAAAACAAGGAUUUCUUCGGACCCCAAAUCAAAUCCAAUUGGAGAAUCAAACGGGGAUUUCUUCGGACCCCAAAUCAAAUUGGAAAAUCAAAACGGGGAUUUCUUCGGACUCCAAAUCUAAAUCAAAUUGGAAAAUCAAAAGGGGAUUUCUUCGGACCCCAAAUCCAAGUCAAAUUGAAAAAUCAAAAGGGAAUUUCUUCGGAUCCCAAAUCAAACCAAAUCAAGAUCAAAAGGGGAUUUCUUCGGACCCCAAAUCAAACCAAAAUUGCAAAACCAAAAAAGGAUUGCCUCGAACCCGAAAUAGAAUUGAAAAGAAAACCAAACCAAAUUCGAAUCAAGUCCACAUACAAACCAAAUCCGAAUCAAGUCCAUAUCCAAACCAAAUCCGAACCAAGUCCACAAAUAAAGCCCAAAACCAAAACCCAAAUAAAACCCAAACCCAAAACCCAAAUAAAACCCAAACCCAAAGUCCAAAUAAAAAACCCAAAACCAAAUACAGUCCACAAAUAAACCCAAACCCAAAACCCAAAACCCAAAUCAAAUCCAAACCCAAAACCAAAUAUAGUCCACAAAUAAAUCCAAAUCCAAAACCCAAAUCAAAUCCAAACCCAAACCCAAAUCAAGUCUACAUCCAAACCUAACCCAAACCAAGUCCACAAAAAGAACCGAAACUCAUUCUACAAAUAAAAUCCAAACCCAACCCAAACCAAGUCUAUAAAUAAAACCAAAAUCCAAACCAAAACCCGAACCCAAAACCAAAACCCAAACCCAACCCAAACCAAGUCUAUAAAUAAAACCAAAAUCCAAACCGAAACCCAACCCAAACUAAGUCUCAUGAACCAAAACUAAUAAACUAAGUUCAUUGACCACGAACCAUAUCCAUGAACCUUACCCAAGUUCGUGAACCAAACACCACGGAUCAUAACCCAAGUUCAUGAAUCAGGGCCCAUGAACCAAAAUAAACCAAGUUCAUGAACCAUGAACCAAGUCCAUGAACCAUAUCCAAGUUCAUGAACCAAAUCCCAUAUACCCAACUUUAUAAGCCAUAAACCAAGUUCAUAAAUCAUGAAUCCAGUCCAUAAACCAAGAUUCAUGAGCGAAGUUCAAAAACCUCACCCAUGAACCAUAUCGAAGUUCAUGAACCAUAUCCAAUAUACCCAACUUUAUAAACUAUAAACCAAGUUCAUGAAUCAUGAAUCAAGUCCAUAAACCAAGAUUCAUGAGCCAAGUUCAUAAACCUCACCUAUGAACCAUAUCUAUGUUCAUGAAUCAUAUCCAAUAUACCCAACUUCAUAAACCAUAAACAAAGUUCAUGAAUCAUGAAUCAAGCCCAUAAAUCAAGAUUCAUACACCAAACCUUAUGAACCAUACACCAUGAAUCAUAAACCAUACACCAUAAUCCAUAAACCAAGAUCAUAUACCCAACCUCAUGACCCAUACACCAAGUUCAUGAAUCAUAAACCAAGUUCAUGAACCAUACCUUAUGAACCCAUGAACCAUACAUCAAGUUCAUAAAUCUCAUCCAUGAACCAUAUCCAAGUUCAUGAACCAAAUCCCAUACACCAAACCUCAUGAACCAUAUACCAAAUCCUAUGAGCCAUGCACCAAACUAUAUCCAAAUCUCAUGAACCACAUGAACUAUAUCUUAACCUCAUAUACCCAAAUCUCAUGAACCAAUACCCAAAUCUCAUGAACCAAUACCCAAAUCUCAUGCCCAAAGUUCAUCAUGAACUUUUUCUUUACUCUAGUAUAUAUAACUAGAGUAAAAAUCGAAUAUCGACUACCCCUGAUACAUAUACUUAGGGCUAAGUCAAUUGCCUUAGCAUAUAUAACUAAGGCAAAUCAUCUCCAAAUCGACAGAAUUCUAAAUCAUAUAUUUAGAAUUCAGUCAAAUGAUAUCAAGUUCAUUCAAACUCUAACACAUAUACUUAGAGUUCAUCCGACUAACCCUAAUACAUACCUUUAGGGUCUAGUCAACCUUUUACUCUAGCACAUAUACCUAGAGUGGAAGUCAAAUCAAGCUCGACUAGUCCUAACCCAUAUACUUAGAGUCUAGUCAGCCUUUUGCUCUAGCACAUCUACCUAGAGUGAAAUCCAUACCCGAUUGAGCUCUAAUACAUAUACUUAGAGCUCAUGCAAAUCAAAUUCGACGAAGCCUAACAUAAUACCUCAGGGCUUAGUCAGAUCUUCACUCUAGCACAUAUAACUAGAGUGAAAAAUAUAUUAAACUCGGUUAAUCCUGAUACAUACACUCAGGAAUUAGCCAUUCUCUACUUUUGGGUAAUAUCAAAUUCGACCCACCUCAAAACAUAUACUUGGGGUCGGGUCACAUCUCCACCUUGGAAUAUACAACCAAGGUGAAUCUAAUCAGACUCUAAGACAUAUACUUAGAGCCAAUAGACUCUAAUACAUAGAGUUUAAUAUCGACUAGGUCUUAACACAUAUACUUAGGACCUAAUCAAUCUCAAAUCCAACUGAAUCCUAAUACAUAUACUUAGGAUUCAAUAAACCAAGAUACGAUUCAUCUCAUCCCAUCUAUAAAGGUCUCUUAAUCGAAGGUGCCCCAAUCCACGGGGGUAAUUAACAGUAGAUGCUUGCAUCUAUUGAAAGCCAUGGACCCGCGAUACCUAAUACCCACAUACAUAUAAAUACUCAUCUGAAUCAUUAAUACUACCCCACGGCCUAAAUCCAUCGACCGUGCGAGGUGCGUCAUUCGUGGUAGCAGACAACACAGUGUUGUGAGUGAUACUAUCAAGUAUACUACAUGUCCAAAUGCCCAAUACUAUGCUAUAAGCAUGUCCAAGUAAUCCAACUACCAAAGCCUAUCUAGUAGUGAUUGUAAUUGACCGGUUCAAUGUCAUAUUAUGGUUUUAAUUUCAAUGCUCAAUCUUAAUCAGGACCUACACGAGUGUAGUCCGGCUUGUGCCGCCUAAUGGCCCCGAGUAGUCCAGCAUUCACUAGGAAUGUGACUGUCCCUCGGUAACCCAGUAGGCUCUUAAACCCGUACCGGCGAGCAUAUGUCACGUAGGCCAACUCCGGAGUGCCGGUUUGUAGGGAGCAACCCUCACAAGCAUGUGCAAAUGAGCACAAAUGGCAAGCAAGCAUGGUAAUCAUCUCAAGAACCCGAACAUCAUGUCUCUAAUAUAGUAAUUGUAAGGAAGUGAAUUCUUGAAAUCCGAGGAUUGUACUUCAUCCAGGAUCGACUAAUUGUCGAGAGAAUACCCUUUGUGGGAGUUAAAAAUAUCUAAAACACAAAAAGUGCUUUAGAAACGCUAAAUAGCAUUGCAUGAAUGUCGGGAACAAAUGAUUCCGCAAGAGAUGUUGACCCUAGUUGUAAGGCAUCCUCACAUGGAGAGGAUUUGAUUGGGUUGUGGACCCUAGUGAUAGUGCUCCCUCACUUGGAGAGGAUUCGAUUGGGUAUUAACCCUAGAUGCAGGGCAUCCUCACUUGGAGAGGAUAGAUCUAGCUCACAGUCUGCGUUUGGGAUGGUAUAGCCAUCCAAUCCCCACAUGGAGGGGAUUGUCGUCGAGUACUCCGGAGUGUCGCGCGACUAGGACCACUUGGAGGUCCGGACCACAUGGAGGUCCGCAGACGGUCCCGGGCUUGGGUGCACUUGGAGCUCCCUCCCCACUUUGAGAUUGAAAGGUGAGUUAUAGGCGAGCCCCAGGGCUUCGCCACAGAUUGGGUAAAUGGAAAGGUAAAGGUUUAAUAAUGUCAUUGAACAUUGCUAUUCGAACAUGGAUCGAAUUUGUUAGCAUGGUAGCAAACCUUUAUUAAAUGAUGCAUGCAUUCAUAUUCUUGAUUAUGGGCAUAGUAGCAUAGUUUUCCUACUACCGCAUUUACAGUUUUUAGAUACAUAUCUAUCUAUCUAUCUGUUGUUACUUGUGCCCACUUGGACCUAGUGGGGAGAUCGGCAGAGUCGGCGGCCGAGCCCACUGGGAACUAUAGAAGAUAGUUCUCACCCCACUCCAUUUCCAGUGGUAGGUACAGGGCUGCCGAGAGAGGACCGCGGCAAGGGCAUCGCGCCCGAUCAAUGAGACCGUGGUAGUAUAGUAGCUUUCCUUUUUGCAUUAGUACACCUAUGUAUUGAGAGAGAUUCAUUGUAGGUGAGGACUUGGAGAGCUAUGUAUUUUAGAGAUGAAAAAUGUAUUCAUUUAAAGAAAAUGAUGUAAAUGAAAAUGAUGGAACUAUUGUAAUAGUUAGUAAAGUACUCUCUUUAUUUCACAUGUAUACCUUGUGGAUUGCUUGCUCUUUGUAUUGUUGGCACUGUUUGUGCCCUUGCGGAUGUGUAUGUUUAGAAUUUAAAUUCCUGGGUAAAUUCUUGUACACAUUCCCGUUGUUGAGCCUUGGGCGGACAGGGGAGGUGCUGUCCGUUCGGCGGUCCGCUCACCGUGCCCGAAUCGUGCCAAAUUGGUAGUGGUUUCGGGGCAGGACCUGACAGCUGUGGUAUCAGAGCAAUAAAAGCAAGUAAAGAGAGAGUCUAGGAUGACCUAGGAGACCCUAGGUUGGUAAGCCCUGAGGUUAUAUGUGUUUGAGCGGAACGUGAACCUAUAGCGAUGGCGAAAGUUGAUUCGAUUGGGUCGAAAUGGGUAAUAUGUCUCUAGUUGUGAUUAGAGACGGAUUUAAGUGGUAUGAGUUCUUGUCUUGAGGUGGUUGUGUCGGCGGCCGACGACAUAAUACCAAGAGUCUAGAACGAGUGCACUUGUGUGCUUCCGCCCGAUUUUUGUGGUUGAGUCGUAAUGUGUCGUAAUUGCGACGAGGUAAUUGGUUAAGAUGACUGACCAAGUAUUUGCGUUUCAGGGACUAAUGUCUCCAAGAUGCUACACGCGUAGAUCUGCCCCAGCACCGAUUCCUGAGGUGCCCGAGCAGGAGGAACUGAGCGUGAUCGAUCGGUUGCAAGCGCAGGUGACCGCGGUGACCAACGUGGUGCAGCGCCAGGAGACCCGAUUUGAGCGUCUCCAAGAUCUAUUGGAGCUGCAGAUUGCGGCAGCGGCUGCGACAGUGAAUGAGGGCGGUGGUCUGCCCGUACCCUCGACUCAUGCACCCGGAGCGGCAGAGGGUGAGGGCAUAGCGGCGGUUCCGGUGAUGGCACGUCCACCGCGAGCGAUCGUACCACAGGCGGCAUCGGGAUCGGCUACACCCGAUGUAUCGGCCGAAGACGUGGAGGGAGAGAGCGCUUUGGCAGCUCUUAUCAAGUUCAACAAGUUCCAUCCGCCAACCUUCGAGGGCGAGAAGGUGGAACCGGAGAUGGUCGAGUCUUGGAUCGACUCGAUGGAAACCCUCUUCGAUGACCUGCGUACCUUGGAGAGGGACAGGGUGUAUCUCGCAACCCAUUGCUUGGGAAAGGCGGCGAAAGUUUGGUGGAAGCGAGUCAAACGGGAUCGGCUUCCCGGCCUUCCGCCAAUGUUGUGGAAGGAGUUCAAGCGGGAGAUUUUCGCCAACUAUUUCCCCGAUACAUUGAAGCGGAAGCUCAAGAAGAAGUUCCGCAAGCUGGAGCAAGGGGACCGCUCAGUAGCGGAGUAUGAACAAGAAUUCUCCCAUAUCAUAGACUGUGUCCCGGAUGUUGUAAAGGAUGACCGGGACCGGGCCGAGUGGUUCUUGCGAGGACUUCGGCCGGGAAUCUACAAGGCCAUGCAAAUACUCAAGCUCACGACCUUCGCGGAGGUCUUUGAUCGAGCCCUAUGGGCGGAGCACGGAGAUGCCCAUGUUCGGGAGAAGCGUGAGGCUUUGGCCGAGUCAAAGGACAAGGGCAAGAAACGCCAAGGCGGCGGUAGUUCGGGGGGACAAACAUGUUACAAGAAACCCCCGAAAUAUCCGCGCACUCAACAGAAGGGCUGUGGAGCGCGGCGAUGCAUUGUGUACGGCGGAGACCACCCGGUCUCGUGCUGUGAGCAAGGCCGAGGCAAGUGCUACAAGUGUGGGCAGCCGGGGCACUUCAUUCGAGAUUGCCUUGGAUGAGGAGCCUCACCUGCCCCCUCGAUUGCAUCGGCGCCGGCGAUUCCGGCUCACUAUGGAGGAGCUCCACCGACGGCCGCGUCGACUGGACGCGCGAUGAUGCCGCGUCAACCCGAAGUGACGAGAUCGGCCCCGAGCGGACGGGUGUUCGCCGCUCACUUCCAAGCUGAGGAACCUGCGGAGGCGGAGGAGCAUCGCCUUGUAGCAGGUAUGGUUUUAAUUAACGGAGUUCGCUCCAGGGCUUUAUUUGAUACAGGAGCGACACAUUCAUUCAUAAGUAGAUCAUUCGCAUGCAUGCAUGGCAUACAUAUAGAAGCGAGUGACGAGUGGCGAGUGGAGGGCCCUGGGUCAACGUUUAACACUUACUCGAAGUGUGUGUCGUGUCCCGUACAAAUAGGCGACUGGAUUAUGCCUAUCCGGGCACUGGAACUCACAAAGCUUGAGGCUUACGAUGUCAUUCUGGGCAUGGACUGGCUCUCGAAGUAUCACGCAAUAAUCGACUGCAAGAGCAGAGUGAUCACAUUCCGUGAGCCAGGACAAGAGGAGUUCACGUAUCGGGCUUGUCAAAGCUCGUGCUUCGUCGCGACAGUGUCGGCGACGAGAGCGAGGAAGAUGGUCAACAGCGGUUGCACGGCAUUCUUAGCGACUGUUGUAGAAGUCGAGCGAGUAUCUCUAAUGUUAGAGGAGUUAUCUGUGGUGCGGGAGUUCCAGGAUGUGUUUCCUGCGGAGUUGCCGGGGAUGCCACCGGAUCGGGAGAUUGAGUUCGUCAUAGACUUGGUUUCUGGUACCGCACCGAUCUCGAAGGCUCCGUACCGAAUGGCGCCGGCGGAAUUGAAAGAGUUGAGGAGUCAACUGCAAGACCUCCUCGACAAGCAAUUUAUCCAGCCAAGUGUAUCACCGUGGGGAGCCCCGGCGUUGUUUGUGAGGAAGAAGGAUGGAUCGUUCCGACUCUGCGUGGACUAUCGAGAAUUGAGCAGAGUCACAAUCAAGAACAAGUACCCACUACCCCGAAUCGAUGACUUGUUCGAUCAGUUGCAGGGGUCGUGUGUGUACUCAAAGAUAGACUUACAAUCCGGCUAUCACCAGCUAAAAAUCAAGCCGGAGGAUGUGCAGAAGACCGCGUUCCGCACGCGGUAUGGACAUUACGAAUUCACUGUCAUGCCAUUUGGACUUACGAAUGCUCCAGCGGCAUUUAUAGAUUUGAUGAACCGUGUCUUCAAGAAGUAUUUGGAUCAAUUUGUCGUGGUCUUCAUAGACGACCUAUUGGUCUAUUCUCGUAGUGACGAGGAACAUGCCUAGCAUUUGAGGAUAGUGUUUCAAGUCCUUCGGGAGGAGAAGCUAUAUGCUAAACUGAAGAAGUGUAACUUCUGGCUUCGCGAGGUCGCCUUCUUAGGGCAUGUGAUUUCCGCGGGUGGAGUUUCUGUAGACCCGAGGAAAGUUGAGGCAAUCAAGGAUUGGCCACGCCCGACGAAUGUCACGGAGGUUCGAAGCUUCGUGGGCUUGGCGGGCUACUAUAGGCGGUUUGUGGAAGGCUUUUCCAAGACAGUGAUUCUGCUUACCUGCCUAACUCAAAAAGGCACCAAGUUUGUUUGGAGCGAAGAGUGCGACCGGAGUUUCAAAGAGUUGAAGCAGAGAUUGACUUCGACCCAGGUGCUCGCUCUACCGGUGCAGGGCGAAGACUUCGUGGUCUACAGCGAUGCCUCCUAUCUUGGGCUGGGGUGUGUAUUGAUGCAAAACGGGAAGGUGAUCACCUACGCAUCCCGUCAGCUGAAGAGCUAUGAAAAGAAUUACCCCAUCCAUGAUUUGGAGCUAGCGGCGGUGAUUUUCGCCUUGAAGCGGUGGAGGCACUACUUAUAUGGUGCCCAUUGUGAGAUCUAUACCGACCACAAGAGCUUGAAGUACAUGUUCACACAGAAGGAGCUCAAUAUGCGUCAGCGGCGGUAGUUGGAGCUAUUAAAGGAUUAUGAUGUUGAUAUCCUCUACCACCCCGGGAAGGCAAAUGUGGUAGCGGACGCACUUAGUAGGAAGUCGGCGAAGAACCUCGCUUUUGAUGUUACCCAGCAAACACCCCUAUGGCUGGAUAUGGAGCGAUUGGAUCUUGAAGUGGUCGCUCCCGAGGUCCCGACUCAGUUGAUGGCACUCAUUAUCCAACCGACCUUGUUGGAGAGGAUCAAAGAUCUGCAACCCGCAGACCCAGAACUCCAAAAGGUGCGGCGAAACAUGGAGAAAGGGCAUGGCGGCGAUUUCAAGGUAGACGCCGAUAGUACGCUUCGGUUUCGAAACCGAUGGUGUGUGCCGAAAGAUGGAGAGCUUCGUGAAUUGAUUCUACAAGAAGCAUACCGAUCUCCAUAUGCUGAUCACCCGGGCGGCACCAAGAUGUACAAGGACUAAAAAUGCACUAUUGGUGGCCGGGAAUGAAAAGUGAUAUUGGACGCUUUGUGGCGAAGUGCUUAACAUGCCAACAAGUAAAGGCCGAGCGUCGAUUUCCAGCGGGUAAGCUUCAAAGCCUACCAAUCCCCGUUUGGAAGUGGGAGGAUAUAUCGAUGGACUUUGUGGUCGGCUUGCCUCGCUCAACGGGCGGCCACAAUGCAAUUUGGGUAAUUGUGGACCGAUUGACGAAGUCGGCUCACUUCUUGCCGAUCCACACCACGUGGUCGGGUGACAAGUUAGCGCAGGUAUACCUUGACGAGGUAGUGAGACUGCAUGAUGUACCGAAAUCGAUCGUGUCGGAUAGUGACCCCCGGUUCACUUCACAUUUCUGGAAGAGCCUGCAGGAAGUCCUUGGCACAUGGCUCGACUUUAGCACUGCAUUUCAUCCUCAGACCGAUGGGCAAACAGAGAGAACUAUUCAAACUCUGGAGGACAUGUUGCGAGCGUGUGUCAUUGACUAUAAGGGAAGUUUGUGUGAUCACCUACCUAUGGCCGAGUUCGCCUACAACAACAGUUAAAAUGCUAGUGUGGAGAUGGCACCGUUCGAGGCUCUCUAUGGGCGGACGUGUAACGCACUGGACCUUGCAAAUUGUGGGGUUCGAGUGAUUGAGUGUGUUCUGAACUUUUCCAGACUUUCUGGUAGGUCGUUGACUGUGUUCCGACCUAUGGUUCGAGUCCCGAGAAUUGUGGUUUAAAAUCUUGCAUCAAAAUCCAAAAAUUUAGAUUUUUGGUCAGCUCUCGGAUAGCCUUCAGCAGGCCGUGUACCGGUAUGGGUUCGCUUGCUGUACCGGUACAGGGUUGAUGGCUGUACCGGUACGGGUCCGCGUACCGGUACACAGACGGCUUUUCGGCCAAACCCGAGGCUCGGGUUUGCGUUUCGUGGGUUGUGUACCGGUACACAAACCCGUGUACCGGUACACAAACCCGUGUACCGGUACACAAUGCAGAUUGGGGCUGUUUCGUGGAUGGGUGUUUUUGCAAUUGUUGCAGCACCUUUAUAAGUGACCCCAGCCCCCUUGGCUGCUCUCCUUGAGCUCUAAACAGGGAGAAUCAAGGUGAGUCUUCUCCUCUUGGUUUGAUCUCCAUUUUUUGGUGGUUUUUAUGGGUUUUGAUCUCUCUCCUUCUCUCCUUUUUGCUUUUUGUGGGUUUGCCACCAUUGGAGAAGCUUGAGAUCUUGGUGGGAGCUUAUUUGGAGAUCAACCUUCAACCCUAAAAAAUAGAUCAUCAUUCUUCCACAUGUAUAAUGAUAUACUCAAAGUCAAAUCUGAGAGACCACCCCACAGGCUGUCUAGGCCCCUGAGAACCUCACCCUAGGUCCUUCUGCCGUGCAGCCUAAUGGCCCGUGGUAGUCAAUCCAUCCCCACCCAAGCAGAGCCUGUCCCCACGGCAAUCCACUUCGGCACCCAAAUCCCGCAAGGCGAAUAUAAUCGCUGAUGGUAAUCUCCGGAUGCCGGCUGUAGGAACGACCUCAAACAAGCAUUUUCUAAUCGAGCAAAUGCGCUAUAGUAUUCAAGCCAUCGUGUCAUCAAUACCAAGUCCUCAGUCUAAUAACAGAACUAUAUCGUCACCAAUAUCCCAUGCCUAUUCCUAUGUAUCAGUCUUUAACAUGGAAUAUAUACAGAUAUGUUGCGCUUACUCAAAUAUUCUCUACGUUUGCAGUUUUCAUUAGUUUUACUAGUAUUCAAAGUGCCCCUUUAACACUGCUUCUCUAUGUCAAAGCACUGGCACUAUAUUCCCAAAGUACACUAUUCCAUAGUCAUAACAGCCUCAUAAAGAUUAUUUUCACUUGCAUAAAUAAACACUUUCCCAUAUCAUGCAUUCUAUUCAUAUACCUUACUAUAUAGUGAAAUUUCAUAGCAUACACAAGGCAUGCAAUUUAAGUGCUUUAAAAAUCCAUAUAAAUUCCAUUUAGCAUAAAAUAUGAAUUUAAAAAAAUAUUACAAAACAAGAGCAAAGGACAUGGGCUUUUCGCCCCAUUUCCCACAAAUCAAACCCACCCGAUCGACACACCGAACUCCUCGUUUGCCCACAACGAGGUGUCUUUCUAGUCUCCUAUACCUAGGAUGUAGGAACAAGUUCAAUUAAAGCUUACGAACAAACUAAGCUCAAACAUUAACUUCUCUACUUAUGUUGAGAAAACUCACCGAACUUAAUAGAAACCCCCACAACCAAAAGGAGUAGAUUUCUUGCAAAUCAACCUAAAUCAAAUUCUUAACCAAUCAAUUUGGUUCUAGACUAAAUCAAAAAUUCCAAUUCUAUAGCCCUAGAACCAAAUCUAAGGUUUCAUCAAAAUAAAACCUCCAAAACUAAUCCAAAUGGAGAUUAGGUUUACUAACCUCAAAAACCCAAAAAUAGAAAAAAAAGGCGCGCUUUCCCAAAAACAAUCUCCAAGUCCUCUGUUGAAGGUUAACUCAUCCUUGAUUUCUCCCUGUUAAGGCUGCAAUUAGAGCACAAGGGGCUUGGGUCACUUAUAAACAUGUUCAACAAUUGCAAAAACACCCCCCCGAAACACGCCCCAAUCGCACUGCUGUACUCGUAUCACCGGUUUGUAAUACCGUACAACAACCCAGAAACGCAAACCCGAGCCUCGUUUUGGCCGAAAAGCGCGUCGACCGUAUUACAGCGGGCCCGUACCGUACAGGCCAUCAAACCGUACGUACAGCAAGCAAAAACCCGUUACCGUACCGCCCUGCUGAAGCUUCUGAGAGCUGACCAAAAAAAUCCAAAAUUUUUGAAUUUUGUGCAAGUUUAUAACACAAAUCUCCGGGACCGAAUCAUUGUCGGAACACAUCAACGACGCUACCUGAAAGUCUGGAAACAGUUCAGAAACACCAAUUGCAUCGAACGCACAAUUUGCAAAAAGUCCUAGUGCGUUAUAUACCCCUCCUAAAAAAGAGUUUCGUCCGCAAACCCGAAAGCAAAAAUCAUACCUAAAGGCUCCUAUCUACAAAGAGGUAUAGCGCGCCUCAUCGCACUCUCUACUCCUACGGGCAUCGCGCUCUCGCUGAUUCGCCCAAAGAGACCUCCAAUAUCGGAAAUCCGAUUCCGCCACUUUUCAACCCUCGCGAUGCUCAAGAAUCUCACAUAGGUUGCUCGCUCGAAGUCAGGAUCUCACGCUCAGCUCCACUGUAUAGCUUCCAAAUUGAUCUGGUCCAUCAGAAUGUACCUCCGAAGGACCGAUAAUAAGACGUUGUCACCCGAUAGGUUCGGCGGUAGAGCAAGUCGAUACUCACCUGGCACUACACGCUCCAAGAUCUCAUACGUCCAAUAAACCUGGGCUUCAACUUCCCCAAAUCGCCCGAAUCUCUUAUUCCUCUAGUUGGCGAGACAUUCAAAAGAAGACAUGUUUCCCACUUGGAACUCAAGUCUCCGCCCCGUCGAUGCAGGAGUCUCCUCUGUCUAACUCUGCCCCAAAAGUUCGCUCCUGAAGUUCAAUUCGAACCUUGUCCUCACUUCCUAGAGCACAUUCCAUGGCCAAAGCCAAUCUUCCCGACUUUCAUCCAGAUGAAGUGGGCGAUCUAUAACACUCCGUCCAAUAAAGCUUCAAGUGCCCAUCUUGAAUGCUUUCUUGAUUAACUGUUGUAUAUUACAAACUCCGCCAUAGGUAGUUAUGCUCUGCGACCUAUGCCUCCCGGAACUGCUUAUCACACAUGCCCGGAGCAAUAUCCUCUUUAAAUGUCUGAAUAUUGCGCUCUGACUGCCCACACUUUGGCGGUGAAGCAGUAACUGAAGUCCCAGAUCGAUUGCCUAGGCGUCUUAGACUUCUCCAAAAGUGAUAACACAAACUCGGGUGUCCUCGAUAUAUGAACUAUCGACGUUAGUACCUUUCCAUGAAUCGCAUUCAAUCUCAUCGAGUACACUUGUGCGAUGCUUCUCCCCGGUCCAAAGUUGUAUAAUAGUAAAUGCGCCGACUUGUCAACCCAUCCACGAUCACCCCAAAUAGCUUCAUGCCCUGCCUGUGAGCGUGCAAUAAACUUCACAAAGUCAUGUAUCUUCUCCCAUUUCCACACGGAAUAGCAAACUCUUAUUUUCCCGGCGGGAACUCGGUGCUCAGCCUUUACUGCGACAUUAACAACGAGCUACAACCUCGCCAACGUCCUUUUUCAUCCCGGGCCACCAAAUAAAUCAACUUAGAGCCUUUUACAUCUUGGCCAUUCCCGAUGUAAGCACUACGCCUCGGGUGCGUCUUCUGAAGAAAUUUCUUCUUAAUUUCUGGAUCCGCAGGUAUACAAAUUUGCCCACGGAAACGCAUGCAAUCCCUGGAGUCGUCCAAAAGGAAGACGCCGGGCAACUAUCAAACCUUUUCUACCCUCGAAUCUUGCAACUCCACAUCAAGCUUUGUCUUCUCUUUGACCCCUCCAACAAUGUAGGUUGCUACUACUAAUUCCAUCAACGCUCAUAACGCGUGUCAAUGAGUCACUAAUCUCCAACUCCAACCGCUUCAUCUGCUCGAUCAAUCUCGGUUGAUUCAUCAACACAUCGCUAAGGUUUUUUUAUCGAUUUCCUACUUAGCGCAUUGAUCCGCCACCACGUUAGCCUUGUCUUUUUCGGGUGGUAAAGAAUCCUCAAAAGAAAAUUCCCCCAUAAUCCUUGAUAGCUGCAACCAUCUGCGCUGUCCUCAAGUACAACUCUUUCUGAGAAAUAUGUACUUUAAAGCUCUUUGUGAUCCGUUGAAUACUUCGCACCGCUCCUCUUAAAAGAUAGUGCCCAUAAGCUCAAUCGAACACUACGCCGCCAAACUCCAAUCAUGUCGUCGGGUAUUCUUCUCAUAUUCCUUGUAUUGCGAGACAUACGCUAUCAACCGAUUGCAUCCGCAUCAAUCAACCACACUCAAUUUCCAUUAAGUGAAAGCAUCCAUAUAAUCCACAUACCGUGCUCCAGCUAAACUGUAGGUCCCAUGAUCGGCAGGUCGCUAAUCUACGGCUUCAAACUCUUGAACUCUUGCGCUUCGCACUCUGCGUCAUUCCAAAUGAACUUGACUCCUUUAUGCGUGAGGCCUCGUUUGUGAGGGGAGUAGAUAGUUAGCAACCCCUCUACAAAUCUCCGUAGUACCCCGGCAUCCCAAGAAGCUCAGUUACUCCCGUGACCUCGUUCGCUCGCAAUUCCUUGAUCGCUUCAAUCCUUCUUGACCCGCUAUACAUGAUCCCGAAAUGCAAAUUCCAAGACAAAAGCACCUUCCUUGAGCCCAAAAUUCAAUUUUCUUCAACUUGGCAUAAGCCCUCUUUCCGAAGUUACUUGAUACAAUCUCAAUGCUUCCUCGUGAUCUGCAUCACUGUCUGGCCGAAGUUACCCAAAAAUGUCGCGAUGAACAUCCACGCACACAAAAUGUCUAGAUAAUAAGCUUAAAAACCACGGUUCAUUUAGAUCCAUAAAACUGCCGGUGCAUAUUAAGCCCCGAACGGCAUAACGUGAACCUCGUAAUGUCCAUACCGGUUCUAAAAGGCUGUCUCGAUACCAUCCUCGGUUGAAUCUUUAGUUGUGUCGUAUCGCCGACUGUAAGUCUAUCUUCGAAUAUUACACACGAUCCCUGAAGGCUAUCAAAUCAAGUCGCGAUCCUCGCAUACGAUACUUUUUUUGAUCGUUGACUUAAUUGAGUCACAUAACCACACAGAAAGCGAAGUAACCGUCCUUCUUCUUUGACGACAAAGCUGUUGCUUCCCAAGGUGAAACUCUCGGGCGAAUAAUACCUUGUCAAUCAAACUCUUCAGGCUGUCCCUCAGCUCCCUCAGCUCCGCCGAUGCCAUCCCUAUAGGGUGCUUUGAGAGUGGGUAGUCCAGGGUCGAGAUCCACCACAAAACUAAUCUCCGCUAUCGGAGCAUAAACGCGGUAGCUCAAGCUGGAACACAUCCUGAACUCUCAAGCACCACCCCCAGAUAUCCUCGGAUCCUAGGUGGUAUCAUCCGUCGCCUCUUAACACCACACUACCAAAAUAGGCUACGCAACUCUGCUGAUCAUUGCCUAUCCGAACUAUUGAUCGUCAAUCGCAAAUAGUAACUCCGGCAAUCCACAAAAUACAAACUCUCGUCUAUCCGUUCUCUAACAAUAACUGUGGCAUUCUUACAAUCAAUGCGUGGCAUAAUACUUGGUCAAUCACAAGUCCAUGCCCAAACCACGUCAAAAUUCCCGACCGCUUGCGCAACAGCUAGUAAAUCUACAGCAUAAUCCAAUUUCCUACGCCGAACAGGCAACUGGAACUAUACUCUCUAAUAUCCAAACGUGGUCGGUACAUACAACAUGUCCGCGGUAUGUUUGAGGUUAGAGAUUGCAACAAACCUGAAGAUCGACGCAUGCACCUCGCUCGAAAGAUGCGGCCUUGUCCUCAUCGUCCCGCAUGACGAAGGGCAGCAUGCAGAAGACGAGAAAACUCCCUCCGGUACUCGCUACGGUCCUCACGCUAGCGCAAAGCCUUGCGCAAUCCUGUUCCAAUCUUUCAUCUGACGCUGUGCGGAAGUAGUGCGCAAAAGAAGUCCUGAAACCUCGUGUCCAAUGGAUAGGCUGUCCAAAUCUGUCGAGGGUUCUCCUGAUAGCCAACUACACAGUGCGUUAGCACGCCGUCCCAAAUGUGAGUGCCAGCCACAAUCGCUGUCCUCUCCUCCAACGAAGGUUCGUCGGAAGACUCUCCAUAUUCAUCAACCACUUCUCCACGAUCAGUUCUGACCUUCUCGUGCCGUCGAAGACUCGGAGCUGCACCUCCUGAAACUCAUUGAGGCGCUCCAUCAGUCUAAUCUCCGCUCCGCCAACCUCACCAGGUAGGGAAAUGCUGCUCCAACUCGGGCUCUGUACAGGUGGUGCCACCAAAACCUCGCUCCUGGGGUCGCCGCAUGCGCCGCACGCAAAACUGGCGCGGGUGACGGCGCUCUCGGUGCAGACUUUCCACACUGCGUGCUGCGGUGUAAGGCCUGAGUUCCCUGGAGAAUCCAGCCUUGCUUUGCAGAUAAGUAGAUCUCCAGCACGCUUCAUUCCGCGCCUCCUGCGCGCGCCGCAGGUCGGUCUGCUGUUCAGGCCGUCCUCCACCUGCUGAGUACCAAAAUCAUUGAGGGCCGCAUGCUGCCCCUACUCACGGACCUCGCGGAAAUCCGGAGUUAAGGAGCGUCCCGACCUCCUCAAAAUUUGUCCGCAUAGUUCGCACCGCAAGAUUUGGAAGCGAGUAAACUCGGCAUUCUGUCACUUACAACACCAUAUAACGGCAAGUUAGAAAUACUCUCGCUAUCGCAUCCUGUGCCACUCAAAAACAAACCCCAAAUCAUCUAAAGUAAAGAAGUGUUUCCUACAUCUACAAACGUCCCGAUAUUACGUUGUCGUCCUCGCCAACGUAACGCUCGACCGAAGAUUAAAAGUCAAACACCCGAUUUAACUAUCCACUUUCUAAUUAUCCAAGAUACCCAAUUCAAUACUGUCGCUUACCAAAGUCAAUUAACCUCGUCUUCAGCGAGCCUAUUUCCUAUAGUCCACCAGCCUAAGGUCUGCUAGUCCCCUAAAACUCAACACUUUAGGCUCUGAUACAAAUUAACUGUCACUCUCGGAGCCCAACGUAAGCCACACGCACGGCCAGCACACCGCCAAUACGUCUAAAAAUAUUAAGGCGUCUAAAACAACAAUAAUAAAAGCAAUACUAAUAAGACAUCUAGAUAUUAGAGGCAUAAUAAAUGUCAAAUGCUUACAAUAAGGAUAAGGAUAAACUGAAAUCCAUAAAUAUCUAAGUGACGAAAUCCAGAUAUCAAGUGCUAUAGUAGAAUACAGUAGGUGCCAUCUAUACUCAUGGUACAAAACCUCUCCACUUCUCUCAAUCUAAAAAGAAGAGUAAACCACCUAAGGCAAGUAGCUCCUCCGCUAGCUACUAAGCGAUCUCCAUGCCGACGAUCCAUGCCUCCCGCCCGUGCCGAAGGCCUGAAAAGUAAACUCAUAACAAACGGGGCUUAAACUAUUAAAUAAUUCCAACAUGUGGCAAUUAACUAACUUCAGUGAAUGCACCAUCAAGGCCAAAGCUAACAAUAAAAAUGUUAGUGACUAUGAAAUGUUAGAAAAGCGAAAGUAAGUAAAAAUGUAACUUACACAACAAUAUCGUCUACUAGCAUAAUAGCAUAAGUUAGUAAGCGCAACUAUGCAUGUAAGUAAAAGUUCCAACUAUCAUAAUGUUCAACAAUGCGAAAUAGUAAAUUCCGUUUUUACUAUUCUACGUCAAUGUCCAAGUAUGUUACCUGAAUCAUUAUUUUCCACAUUCAAAUAAAUACCAAAGUCAAAUCUGAAGAAAGCCGCACCCGAUAUGCUUCAUGCCCUUGACCCACCCGUAGGCGCUGAUCUCGGUGCCAAGCCUAAGUGCCCGCUCGGUGUACGUCAUCAUCCCCACCCUAGAAUGAGCCUGUCCACACGCAAUCCCUUUGGCGCCCAAUCCGCAUCGCGAAUAUAAUCGCGAUGGCUAUCUCCGGAGUGCGGCUUGUAAGGGAGAACCCUCACAGGAAUGUCUGAAUGACAAAUGGAAAGUAUCCAAAGCGAUCUGUCAGCAAUACCAAUCCUCAUGUUAAUAAAUGGAAUAUAUGUCACCAAAUCUCAUAGCUAUCCCUAAUGUCAUCAUGUCAACUGAAAUAUAGCAAUAAUUAGUGGCCAUCAAUAUUCUCUUACUUGCAGUUUCAAUAGUUUAAGCCUAGUUUCAAGUGCCCCUUUAAUACACUUUGUUCUCUAUUCUCAAAGUAAUGGCACUAUGUUCCAACAUACAUAUUAAAAGUCAUAAUUUAUAAAGAUGUAUUUUUCACCCUUGCAAGAUAACACUUUUCCCUAUAGGCUAUCAUACCUACCUCAUAAGAGAUUAUUAUUUCACUGGUCAAAUAUAUACACUUUUCCAAUAAGCAUGCCCUUUCUACUCAUAUAGCUCUACUAUAUAGUGAAAUAUUUAUAUACACAAGGCAUCAUUUUAAGUGCUUAAAUUCAUAAUAAAUUCCAAUUUAAACUAGAAAAUUAAAAAUAUUUUACAACAAGUAGAAAAGAGCAGGGGCCAUUUCGCCCUAUUUCCUACGAACCAAACCCAGCACGAUGACAAACUGGAACUCUCGUUUUGGCUCUAACGAGGUUCUUCUAGAUCUCCUAGCUACCCUACGAUGAGGAACAAGUGCAAACAUAGGCUUACAACAAAGCGUAAGCUCAAACAUAACUCUCUAGCUCGUGGAAGAAAACUUACCGAACGCUAAAACCCCACAACGGUCCAAUAAGGAUUAUAUCCUUCAAAUCCAUAACCUAAAUCAAAGUUCUAAACCAAUCAAUUUGGUUCUAGAAGCUACUAAAUAAAAAAUCCCCAAUUCUAGCCACUAAAUCCAAAAUUAGGGUUUCAUUCAAAAGAAACUCAAAAAUUAAUCCAAAAUGGAGAAAUUAGGUUACUAACCCUCACAAGAAUGCUCAAAGAGAAGAUCCCAAGUCCCUCNNNNNNNNNNNNNNNNNNNNNNNNNUUUUCAGAGCCUUCGGCACCGGCGGAGGCACGGGAUCGCGGCAAGGGGAUCGCUUAGCUAGCUAGCGAGGAGCGGUACUUUGCCUAGGUGGUUUACUCUUUCUUUUGUAGUUGAGAGAGUGAGAGGUUUUUGUAUCCAUGUAUAGAGACCACCUAUGUAUCUACCUAUAGCACUUGUAUCUGGGAUUUUCUUGUAUCACUUUAUGAUUUAUUUAGUGAAUUUACAGUUUUAUCCUUAUCCCUUAUUGUAGCAUUUAGACAUUUAUUAUGCUCUGAUACUCCUAAAUGUCUUUUAUUAUUGCUUUUAUUAUUGUUGUUUUUAAACGCCUUAUAUGUUUUAGACGUAUGGCGGGUCUGGGCACGUGCCGGGCGGGCUUCCGCUGGGUCCCGGGGCUUGACAGGACGUGUCGGUCUCCUAUACACUGGAGUGAUGUAGGUGAGCGUACAGAGUUCGACCCCGAUGUCCUGCGAGAAGCAGAGGAGAAAGUCCGUCUUGCUCGCAAGAGGUUGCUCACGGCGCAGUCGAGACAGCAAAGCUAUGCAGAUAGGCGGCGUCGAGAUAUAGAAUUCGCGGUAGGUGACCGCGUAUUCUUGAAAGUUUCACCGAUGCGGGGUGUGAAGCGGUUUGGAGUGCGGGAAAAACUAAGCCCCCGAUACAUUGGACCAUAUGAGAUAUUGGAGCGAGUCGGCACGGUGGCCUACCGACUUGCUUUACCGCCGAAGCUUGCGGAUGUACACAAUGUGUUCCAUGUCUCCAAUCUCCGCAAGUAUAUUCACGACCCCGAGCAUGCAAUGCUAUAUGAACCGCCGGAACUUCAAGGAGACUUGAGCUAUGAAGAGUUUCCGGUAGGGAUUAUCGCCCGAGAGGUGCAAAAGUUAAGGAAUCGAGAAAUUCCCUAUGUGAAGGUCAGGUGGAGCACUCACGAGGAUCGCGAAGCCACCUGGGAACUCGAGGAUCUGAUGAGAAAACACCACCCUCAUCUGUUUGAGGAAUAAGGUAAGAAUUUAAGUUAAAGUUAAGAAUCGAGUUCGUUUCGAGGACGAAACUCUUUUUAAGGAGAGGAGGAUGUAAGGACGUGAAUUCUCGAAAUCCGAGGAUUGUACUUCAUUCAGGAUCAACUAAUUGUCGAGAGAAUAUCCUUUGUGGGAGUUGAAAAUGUCCAAAACACAAAAAGUGCUUUGGAGUUGAGUCCGCGAGAGCAAAUGGUGCAAAUUGCAUCAUUGGGCUGAUGAUACUCUCGGGGACCGGUCUCUGGAGGUGAGAAACCGGUUCCACUGGCUGGUCGUAGCGGGGUUGCUUGAUGCAACCGGUCCCUGGUAGGGAGGGACCGGUUCCCGAACGUGGUUCCAGCAAGAAAUGCCGAAAUUUGGCUAAGUCCUGAAAAUCGAGCUCUCGGGGACCAGUCUUUCAGGUGAGGACCGGUCUCCGGGGAAGAGACCGGUUCCCGAACGCGUGCGCCCGAGGGAGGCCCUCAGGAAUCGGUCCCAAGUCGGGGAGACCGGUCCCUCCGCACGAAAUCUGCCCAGUAAGAGCAGUGUAUAGGAUUAAAAGUUGAGGGAUUUUUAUGCAAAAUGGCAUUAGUUAGGGAGGGGAUUAGAGGGGCUGAGCCCUCUUCCUCUCUCACCCUCACUCAUACUUUCUCCCUCUCUUAUUCUCUCUUGCUCUUUCUCUCUCUCUAGAAAAGAAAGGAGAAGAAGAAGAACAAGAAGGAGAGGAAGGAAAAGAAGGAGAAGAACAAGAAGGAGAAGAAGAAGGAGAUCAAGAGGAAGGCUUUGGACACCUUCAUCUUCCUCUCCUCUUCUCUUUAGUGUAGCACAAGAGGUAGGCUCUUGAACCCUAGCUUCUAGAAUUUAGGGUUUUGGGUUUUUAUGCCUUGGAAUGGGUCAAAUGGACCCUAAGCAUGCUUCUAAAUAGAUCAAUCCCAAGAAUCUAGAAAUUUAUUGAAUGGUUUGCUAUGGGUGCAAACUUAGGGCUCCAAAAUGGGGUUUUUGUGAAAGUAUGAGAUUGAUCUCAUUUGAAGCCUUGGAAACCCUAUUGUUAGGUCACAAAACGUGGGGGCGAAGUCGGUUUUAGCAUUCGACGAGCCGGCGUGAAGUUCUCGGCAAAAUAGGGCCGGGUUAGCAUCGACUUGGGCAAGGAAGGCUAAAGCCUUUUCGUGAAGUUCGCCGAGGAGCGUUUCCAAAGCCUCUACAUUGAUAAAAGGUGGGGGGUGCCAUCUCGAAGCUUUCGAACUCCUUUCUAUAUCUUAGAUUGCAUUUAAUCUCAUCUCUUACAUGUUGCAUUGUAGGAUUGCAUAGUAGCUCCCUUCCUUAUGCUUUCUAAAUGAUAACCUAGUGUACUUGGAACGCUUGGUGACUUAGAUAGGUGAGGAUUGGGUCGGAACAUGGAUUCUAUGAUGCGAAAGAAAAGAGAUGAACCCGAUGGGGGAUGUUGAUGACAUAGAAAGUAGUGUUAAUGUCAAAGAACAAACGAGUGGCAUCUAAACGCUAAAUGAUGACGAGUGGCAUUAAUGUAGUGUAAAUGACACUAGAGGUUUGAGAACCUAGGGAUAGGUGGAUCCCUUAGAAAAUGCCCUGUGGACAAGAACUUAGUAAACCUAAGUAGCCUCACAUGGAGAGGUUGGCGAUGAGUCGAUUGAGACAUUGACCCUAGUGGUAGGGCAUCCUCACUUGGAGAGGAUUUGAUUGGGUUGUGGACCCUAGUGAUAGUGCUUCCUCACUUGGAGAGGAUUCGAUUAGAUUAUUGACUCUAGUUGUAGAGCAUUCUCACUUGGAGAGGACUUGAUUGAGUUGUUGACCCUAGAUGUAGGGCAUCCUCACUUGGAGAUGAUAGAUCUAGCUCACAGUCUGCGUUUGGGAUGGUAUAGCCAUCCAAUCCCCACAUGGAGGGGAUUGUCGUCGAGUACUCCGGAGUGUCGCGCGACUAGGACCACUUGGAGGUCCGGACCACAUGGAGGUCCGCAGACGGUCCCGGGCUUGGGUGCACUUGGAGCUCCCUCCCCACUUUGGGAUUGAAAGGUGAGUUAUAGGCGAACCCUAGGGCUUCGCCACAAAUUAGGUAAAUGAAAAGGUAAAGGUUUAAUAAUGUCAUUGAACAUUGCUAUUCGAACAUGGAUCGAAUUUGUUAGCAUGGUAGCAAACCUUUAUUAAAUGAUGCAUGCAUUCAUAUUCUUGAUUAUGGGCAUAGUAGCAUAGUUUUCCUACUAUCGCAUUUACAGUUUUCAGAUACAUAUCUAUCUAUCUAUCUGUUGUUACUUGUGCCUACUUGGACCUAGUGGGGAGAUCGGCAGAGUCGGCGGCCGAGCCCACUGGGAACUAUGGAAGAUAGUUCUCACCCUACUCUAUUUCCAGUGGUAGGUACAGGGCUGCCGAGAGAGGACCGCGGCAAAGGCAUCGCGCCCGAUCAGUGAGACCGUGGUAGUAUAGUAGCUUUCCUUUUUGCAUUAGUACACCUAUGUAUUGAGAGAGAUUCAUUGUAGGUGAGGACUUGGAGAGCUAUGUAUUUUAGAGAUGAAAAAUGUAUUCAUUUAAAGAAAAUGAUGUAAAUGAAAAUGAUGGAACUAUUGUAAUAGUUAGUAAAGUACUCUCUUUAUUUCACAUGUGUACCUUGUGGAUUGCUUGCUCUUUGUAUUGUUGGCACUGUUUGUACCCUUGCGGAUGUGUAUGUUUAGAAUUUAAAUUCCCGGGUAAAUUCUUGUACACAUUCCCGUUGUUGAGCCUUGGGCGGACAUGGGAGGUGCUGUAUGUUCGGCGGUCCGCUCGCCGCGCCCGAAUCGUGCCAAAUUGGUAGUGGUUUCGGGGCGGGACCUGACAGUAAUAGUCACUAGCAACCCAUCGGUCUAGUUCUAUGUCUCAAAGUGAAGUUUCAACAUUCACUAAAUUUAAUGCCUCUUUAUGACAUUAGAACAUUACUAUAUCCAAGCAUAUUCCAAAUUCGAUGCCUCUUUAUGGCAUUAUUAGUAGGAUCAUACAUAACUCAAGCUCAAUGUCGCCUUAUGACAUUAGCUCACUAAUUCACACAUCAUUCAAGUCUAAUGCCUAAACCCAACAUGAAUAAUUCUCUACUACAUAGAGGUUCAAAUAUACUUUGUAUAUAACAUGUGCAUUCUAGGCAUUCUAAAAUUCACAAAUAUUACAUCUAGUAUGAAUAUGCAUAAAAUUUUAUUUUACGACAAGUAUAAUCAUCAUAUGAGAAUUUUUAUCUCAUUUUGGUGAGGCCAAACCCACCAAGUCUCAUCGAAAUCCUUUGCUUGCGCAAAAGGAGUUGUCCACUAUUCUCCUAGCACCCUAAAGGUAAUAAAAGGAGAGUUAAACAAACAUUACGAACAUCCCUAUGGUCGAUUAUUAACUAUAACGUAUCGAAACCUCGAUAGCGAUUAUCGAACUUUAGCCAAAUUGGUUAAAGUGCCGAGAGAAAUGGAUAGACAAAGUCCGGUUGACAUUCCAACAAUGUUGGAAGGGUCAAAGUCGAGUCCCGAGAGUGUUAAGCAAGUUUUAGCAUUGCUCGGCGUGAUUUAAAAGUGAACAAUGCGAAAGAAAUAGUUGGGUAUGUUCCAUUAAGCGUUCCAACAAUAUUGGAAGGGUUAAAAAGGAGUUCUAAAAGAGUUAAAAGGGUCUUAGCAUCAAAUGGCGCGAAAUAGAAUAAAAAACGGCGCAAAAUCAGCAUUCUGGGCAAAGUGUACCGGUACAACCAUCGAGUUGUCACCGGUACAACCCUGCAGACCGAGAAGAGCUUGCUCUCGGGUUUGAGAGAAAAAUCGAAAGUGUACCGAUACACUUUAAAAGUGUACCGGUACAAAUCCUGCGUAACCGAGAAACAUGCUUUCGGGUUGGCCUCUGCGCAAUCGUGUAUUGGUACAAAUCCAAUGUGUACCGGUACACUUUGGUCUGGCAGCACCAAUUUGGUCUGCUGCAAAUAAAAAGAAAUGGGGGGCCUAGAUGCAAUUGUAGUACCUUAUAAAACACCCCAACACCUCUCUCUCCCUCUCCCACAGCAAACACACACCUCUUCUCUCAUUUCUCUCUUUCUCUUUCUUAAGAUCACUUCCAAGAGCCAGGAGGUGAAGGAGGAGAAGGCUUUGGAGGGAUUUUUGGUGGUUUUGAAGGCUUGAGAUCUCUCCUACAAGGUGGACAUUGGAGAGCUUUGGGCUAAGGUGAGGUGUUUUGUAACAAUAGGUCUAGGGUUUGGUUAUAUGCCCUAGAAAACUAGGUUUUGUUCUUCUCUCAUGUAUAGAAACCUAGUAAUGGCUUAGAACACAUGAAAACCCUAGUUUUCUUCAUGUGCUCUAAUGGUGAAUUCCUAGGGUUUGCUUAUUAUGCCCUAGAAAUGAUUUAGAUAGUUCUAAAUGAGCUUCUAGAUGUUGAACAAGCUCUCUUUUGCUUGUUUUAGAGAUCAAAAUCUAGAUUUGAGCAAAUGGUGUUGUUAGGGCACCAAAUUUAGAGCUUUUGCCCUAGGGAGUUUCUAAGGCAAAUUAACCUUGUACAAAACCUAAUUGGGGGUAUUCCCGACACGUUGUGCAACUCGGUUUGACGUUACGAAAAGCCUAUGUAGGAGUUCUAAGUAUUAAGCCUAAUUUGGCUUCGUUUUGCCGCAGGCGAUAAAGUAGAGCUUCAAAAAUUCCAAGAAAUUCACCGUAGCACCUUUGCAACCAUACAAGGUGGGUGAUGCAUACCAAGGACCUCGGAAUUCCUUUUAUAUCUAAAGUGUCAUAUUUAAGCAUAUGUAUGUAUUGAGCAUAUUGCAUAGUAGGGGUAAUUGUGAGCUUCUUAUCGCAUGUUGUUGGUUCAAAUACAUGUGAAAUGCUAAUGAGACAAUGAGAAUUUAUAAACCCUAUGUAUGCAUGAUAAGUGACAAGAACCUAGCGGACUUAGUAAACAAAUAUGACAUGUGGAUAUGAGUCGUAGAGAGUGGCAUCUACUAGUCUUGAACACUUAGAGAACAAGUGUGGCAUCAUUAUAUGAGUACAAAGAUCAAGCAGUGUAUAUGACACUAGUAAAGGUUAACGAAUGCAAGUAUACAAAGGUAGCGACAUUAUGACAUAGCAACCUUAGAGUUAAGGGUCAUAUGUGUAUUACUUUCUUAUAGUUAAGGAAUGGAUUGAAGUUGACAUUCUUAUAGUUAAGGAUUGGAUCAUACUCACCUGUAAGUCCUUACUCGAGGGUGGUAGCUCCCCUUCGAGCGAUGUGCUCCGGAGUUGUCAUCACUGGAUCGUAGCGAGUAUCUCCCCAGAGGACAGUCCCGUCGGGUUGUAGCGGGUAUCUCCCCGAUAGUAGGGAUUUGGUUGGUGAGUUGUUGAGGGCGAAACCUACGGGUUAGCCAAGAGAUUGGGCAAUGAGAUUGUGAUCUUGCAUUCAUCAUCAGCAUACUAUUGAGCAUUGCAUUGAUUAUUGUUCAGGCAUAUUAGCUGCAUUUGUAUAGUUUGGUUACUAUCUAUAUCUCUUUUCUUCUAUUAUGUCUGAUUUAGACCUAGUGGGAAAGUCGGCGUGGUUGGUUGCCGAACCCACUUGAAACUUUGUUGUAGUUCUCACACCCCAUUUUUCACAGAGCCGGGACCGAGCGAGCUGGCAGACGAUCGCGGUAAGAGUAUUGCGCCCUAGACAGAGACCGCCCGAGAUACUUUACAUUUUGUAGUUGCAUACCCCUUUUAUAUAUAUCAUCUUUUGUACUUGGACGAUGAUUAGGGAUGUUAGAGCAAAUGUAUUAAAGAUACUUUACGAUGUUAAAUGUAAAGGUUUAUUUUGGAGAUUUGAGAUGUACAAAAGAAAUGAUGCAAAGACUGUAAAAGAACUUCGAAGUUGAAUGCAUAUAUGUGAUUUAAAUUUAAUCAUAGUGCUUGUAUGUUGAUUAGUUAGCACUUUCACUUUGGCUAUUGCUUGCCCUCGUGCAAGCCAUUAUGUAUGCUUCCGCAAGUACAAAUUUUAUACUCUAUCUGUACCUGUUGUUGAGCCUUGGGCGGACAGGGGAGGCUCUGUCCGUUCAGCGUCUGUUCGACGCACUCGAACCGGCCAAAAGGAUCGGGCUCGGGGCGUAACAUUAACCAUCUCAAGAAAAGGGACAAAACUCACCUAUAGAGUGGAAAGCCCUUCUCGAACUCCAAAUGGGAGCUAGAACCCUUCGAAUCCAACCUAGAGGAAGGUUCUAAUCCAAACAAUUGAGCUCCAAAAGCCCUAAAUCAAAAAUUCCCAAAUUAGACCCUAAUUCCUCAUUUCUAGGGUUUCUACACAAAAACCAUGAAAAUCAUGAUCUAUAGGGGAAAAGUAUGCAACUAACCUCUUUAGAUGCUCCAAAAGACCUAAGAAACCAGCUAGGGUUGAAGAUCUUCCCUCUACCAAGCUUCAAACACGAACUCAAGGCUUCUCCAAUGGUGGAAGUUGCACCAAGAAGCAAAAAGAGAAGAUUUAGCCACCAAAAUCCAAGCAAAAAGAGGAAAAAAUCAAAGAAAAUGGAGAGCGAGCUCACCUCUCCUUCUUUCCUGUUGCAACACAAGAGCCCCAUCCAAGAGGUGUGGGGGAAUAUAUAGUGUUGCUACAAUUACAAAGAAAUCCCUCAAAAACUGUCAGACUGCAGUUUGCAAAGUGUAUCGGUACACAAAAAAGUGUACAGGUACAAAUCCAUAAUACGCGCGAACCCAAGGCUCGGGUUAGGAGAAACAGCAAUGUGUACCAGUACAAAUCGAAUGUUGUACCGGUACAACCUCUUGUUCCGGUACAACUUCAAUGUCGUACCGGUACAACACCCUACAGACCCCAACCCGAGAGCGGCCUAAGUUCUUCUCUUUGGAGACCUUAGGGCUAAGUCAAAAAUCUCGUUUCUCAGGAUGCGAGCCAUAGGUCGGUACACUGUCAACGACUCUCCAGAAUAGCUAGAAAAACUCGAAACAUAGGUCAAACACUCGAACCUCACAAUUUGCAAAGGUCCAGUGUGUUACACGCCUUAUAUGUGUAGGCAUAUGGCAGGUCUGGACACGCACCGGGCGGGCCUCUGCCGGGUCCCGGAGGGUGACAGUGUUGGCCGCGGCUUUUCCUCCGUCGUCAUCGUCGCCUUAGCUGGCCGUCGCCCUCUUGGGUCCUUUCUCAUCCACCUCGACCGCUCUUGGCCGGUGUCUACCUUUCUUGGCCGCCAAAGCCCGAGAGAAAGGAGACCAACCUUGGACUACCCAAGCUAAGGCUCGCUAUUGACCAACUAUACUAUUCCGGUCAUUCUCGCGAAAUGCCAUAAUGAGAUGCUUCACAUUGUGGUCAUCCCAAACAACGUGAUUUCAGUUUUGGAGUAUCCAUACAUGCUGUAUAAAGCCCGGGAAUAUCUUGGCUCGAAGCUCGUAGCGAUCGACAAGUGAAACGGUGCCCGUACACAUGUUCUAGUAUGCUUUUGGCCGUGUUUUCGCAAAGUAGGUGAUCGUUGUUGAUCACAAUGAUUGGUGGGCAUUAUUUGCUAGUUGGGGACUCAUUGUUGUGAAGCUCAGGCAAUCGAGUGACCAUAGACGGGUUCCGGAGCCAAAACAACACCUUUUUGGAACUGUAACAUACCAGAUUUUGGUAUAAAAAUAAAAAUAAAUAAAAAUAGUAUGAGAAACUAUUUUUAUUGGAUUUAUAGAAGCAAAACAUAAGUCAGAAGUGACUUGUGCUGAAAUCGGAAUGAAAACAGAAGAUUUAGAAUUUUCUGUUGAAAACGGGACAGAUAAAUUAGCAGAAAAUACACAGUCUCAGAAAAUUAUGAAAAUUGGAGGAUAAGUCAGAAAUAUUUUUAUGAGGCUAGAUUUAAAGUUUCAUAUUUUUCUGACACCCGAAAGGUGGAAAAUAAAAUCCGACAAGUUAU